rnacentral:lncRNA from 1 species
UAGGCACUACUGGAUGGAAAAUGACAAUUGUAUGGCUACAUCAAUACAUACUGGCAAUUGUUCCAUAUAUAAUAUCCCAUACAAUAAAACCAUACAUUUGAAGGAUAUCAUACAAAAAGGUGGUAAGAAGAUAAAGCAUUUUCCUUCUUUGGAGUGCAACCACAGAAGCAUCCAAUACUAGAACUCAAACCCCUUUGUGAAAACAUUUCAAACCCUAUCAUGAUUAAAAGGGAAAACAAAAAAAAAAAAAGAAACUUCAGUCCUUAUUCAUGUAUCAUAACAAAACAGGCAUGACUGUAGUUGAGGGGCCAGGGUUGGAACAACACCCAUGAUGAACUCACCCCACAUGACCAGAGCACAAUUAUCAAACAUUGAUGAUUAUGCAACCAGUCAUCAAUUUCUAGUUUUACCUUUUUGGUGUAGAUGAGAGACAUGGGUUCAGAGCUAAACGUUAGAAUAUCACCAUCCGUAUAUAGAGAGAGAUUGGGGCUGCAUCUUAUCUUUGACUCUUACACCUCCAAAGCCUCUGUUUUUUCAUCUGCAAGUCACAAUAGUCACGUAGCUGUUUACAUUUUUUGUGAAGAUAGGUGAUAGUUGGGCAUACAUAUGAAUUCAAUGCUUGUAGGGCCAGGUCAAAGCUGAUCAAAUGGAGAGUCAUUGUAGUCUCAUGUGCCAGUCCCCUCUCAGUCACAUGCAUGAGACAUACCGAGACUGUGUAUGUUAAAUGCCCACUUUUGUAUGGUUUUGGGUCGAAGCGAAAAUUUGGGUCUUGGAGCUCAGGAACCCGGCCCAAUAAUGUCGACUUUGGGUUGGUUACCAAGGCUCCAACCCAACUACAAACCAGCUCUGUUUCAGGAUCAAAAAGGUCAUGGGCAACCAUCAGAAGCUACUAUCAACUAUCUGCAUUGUAGGUCACAAAUCACAAUAACAAACACAUUCCACAAUCUAGUAAUUAGGAUCAUUCAUGAACACAGCUGAGCAAAACCCAAAUGUCACAUAAGUUUACAAUUUGCCCAUCUGGAAAACCAGCUCGAACAAGAGAAUAAUGAAGCUUAACCUGGACCACAACAAUGCCCAAGCACAUCUAGUCAGUAACUUUCUUGUUCUGCACUGUUCCUUUUUAUCCCAGAUGAAGGCCACAGUGGACACUGGAUAGGCCAUGGUGAUUGACUGGCACUGUUACAAUCUCCAGGACCUUUGAAGGUACAACAUUGAAAAAUAAUGAGAUUCAGUACUUCAAUUGAUAGCAUGGAACCAAUAUUAGGAUUUAAUGUACUGAAAUAAUUUUGAUGCUUACAUUUCCCCGGUCACCAGGGUUUCCAUUUUUUUGAACAGCCACUUUCUUUGUAAGGAGUUUAUACAGAUGAUGAUAAGCAAUCUUUUGUACAAAAAUGCUAUGUAAAUUGUGGUGGAUCUUUUAAAUUUCUGAGGUCCAAAUGCUUUAAAUCAAUGCUCUCUCAGAUCUCACAGUCCAUUAAUCAUCUGGGAAACCUAGAAACCUGUUUAUAAGCUUAGCAACUGCUGCAGCAUCACCUGGAUGGUAUAUGGAAGGAGAGAUUCCAAGUUCAUAGUUGCAAUAGUUUGGUAGAGUGUUUGAGGGCGAGCACAGAAUAAAUGCUUCCGCUCUGCUAGUUCUUCUGCUAGCUCACUCUGAUGAUUGUCCAUCAAAUCCUCAUUCACCACCACAAUCAAAGGUUUUCUCAAACGCAAUGUCUCAAAUAUGCUCCCAGACCCUGCAUGACAAUCAAAACCAGUUAUGGAAUCUCUUUCCAUCUUUCAAUAUUAAGUUCUUCCACCUACUUUUUCUCCAUUUUUGGCUGCAUGAACAGUUGAUCCAAAUUAAUAGAAGCAGUUAUAUUAUCUUAUAGCAUCCAGUUCAAUGAACAUCAAGCUUAGAAAAUUUGAAUCAACUUGUUAUUUUUUCUCAUUAAACAAGAAAAAGUAGGGGGUGGUCUGGUUUUCCACUCCUACCUACCCCAUUAGCUGGCUACUCACCCCAUCACAUAACUCUAAUAACCCUGAGCAGCUUAAGGUGGUCGGUAGAUUGUUGCCUACCCUGGUUUUAAAAACUGAAACCUAUUGCAGGAGUGCAUUACAAUUUGCCAACAAAGCUAGAAUGCAAAUAGUGAUUGAGAAAGCUUGAGCUGAAAGGGUGCAUUUACAAAUUGCAUAGGGCUAGUAUAUAAUAUGUAUUUUAUCUCAUGAUGGAAGCAUGACAGACUCCGGCAUCUAUUUGAGGGGUUUUGGGGUUCGAAGGAGUGAAGAACCAGACUCCAUUUAUUCAAGAUUUAAACUCAACCAUUUUUAUUUUUAUUUUUUUUGGUAGAUAAAGUUUUGCCCCAUUGGGACUUGAAACUAGAACCUCCCACAAACCCUCCCCAUUCCUUUACCACUUGAGUCAGGCCUCAAGGGUUUAACUCAACCAUUUUUUCCACCUCUGUACCAAGAAAUUUUCAGAGAAUGUUAUGAUGCAUAACUGACAGACAUGACAGGAUCAAUUGCUAUGGAGCAGUCAAUUAGCAACUACAGGCAAUGAUUGAUGUGGAAAAAAAUUAACGAUCUAGGAGCUACAAGGAACCAGGACAAUUUAGGGGAUUGAGAAGGGAUGGAGUUAAGAUGCAGGGACAACAAAACUUGCUAGAGAUCAUAGUAACAAAUUCAGUUUUUCAAGCAAAAGAAAGGGUUUGUUAAUCUUAUGUACUGGUUGAGUUGACUCAAACUGAUCCCUUUAUGUUGGAGAAUCAUGCAACAAUGCUUGAGCCUACUUAGCAAGUAUCAAAACAAAUUAUAAUUUAACAAUGGCAGGCUGAAACAACCAAUAUGAUAAAAUUUUCUUUUGUGUGAAAGAAGUUCAGAUUCAUUUUUAAUAAAUACAAAAAUGGAAAGGAUUAAAGGAAUAAAGUAAAGAAAGAACUAGAAAAAUCAUAUAUUUAUGUGGCAAUUAGUUCUUUAAAGGAUAGAAAGGUUGAUAAACUGAAAUAUGGACUUAAGCGUAAGCCAUCCCUGUGGCUCUCAUUUAACUCAAAGGUUCAAAUAACAGAGCUCAGUGAUGAAGAUCUACCAAAAAAUAAGGUCAACUAUGAUUAUAAGACGGGGAGUUGAACGAGUUGAAUGAAUUUUUCCAUGCAUUCCAAUGUAAAACAUUUUCAAAGAGGAUGGACGCAUUCUCAUGGAAAUGUACCUCCUUGAGUUCCCUAAAGGAUUAUAUCCUAGUUUCAGUUUCUUGCAAAACAUGUUCACAUGCUGAAUUAGUUCCGCAUAGUUGAUCUUUUAGCCCAAAAAUUUGACCUAACAAAUUCUUCAAAGAAUUAUAUAGAAAACAUAAGCAAGCACUAUGUUUCUUUUCCUUAAUCAAAAUGAGAUGUAUAAUAGGAUAUGGAUAUCCACAGUCCACUUCAAAUUCCAGGGCAACAAUUAACACACUUUUCCCACAUGCUACUCCUGUUUUUCUUUUUAAUACUAGCAAAGGGUGUUAGAUAAAUAUGGGAGUUCCCAUUACUUGAACUAAUAUGGUUAAUGGAAGGCAGACAUGUGGAUUAGUACAAUAAUUGUUAGCAUCAUAUUCAGGAUUCAUGUUGUUUGGUUAAAGUAUUGUCCAAAUGGAGCUUAAUUGCUUAGAUAAUCUAAUUGCUGAGCACUAACAAAACAUGGCAGUAGUAUAACAAAGCAAAUAGCAAUAUUAUCCAACAACAGGAAAAGAAAAAUACAACAGAUGCCAAUCUCAGAUUUUGUGACUGAUCACAAAAGAAGGGUAUUACCAGCAUGACUGAUCACAAGAGAUGCUGAUCUCAGAUUGUCUGCAAUGCUUGAUGAAAAAGUGAAAAAGUCUACAACUAGUGACCCAUCUUCUCCUGUAGACUGCAUUGUAAAGAAAUUGGUGAGAAUAUUGAUUUUAGCAAGGGAGGGGGCAGCUUUCAAAACAAAUGCUUGAGUUCUCCUGUCAUAAAUAUCUUGCUUUAACUGGGACCAAUCAGUUGAAAUAAAUGUCACUCCUAUCUUUUAAUGCCAAACAACGACUAGAUAUUCCAUAACAAUCAGAGAUCACCUCAUUCACCAACCAUAUUGAUGAGGCCACAGGUUUGAAAGCUCAUGGCAUUGAAAUGAUCAGGGUUCUAUUCAAACCAAAACAAAGCUUGGAUAAUCAAAGGUACAUGCAAACAACCAAAAGAAUCAACAUCUCAGAAAAGUUAAAGAAGCUAAGUUGGCUCCUUCUAGGCUCCACAUCCACUUGUUUAAUUGCAAGAGAAGAAAAACGAAAAUUUUUGGGGUAACCUUUUCAUUUCUCUUUAAGGUUAAGGUUAAACAAGGUAGGAGCCACAUUCUUUUUCUUUAAUUGCUAUUAUUAUUAUUAUUAUUAUUAUUAUUAUUAUUAUUAUUAUUAUCAUCAUUAUGAUGAUCAUUAUUAUCAUUAUCAUUAUUAUUAUUAUUAUCAUUAUUAUUAUUAUUAUCAUUAUCAUCAUUAUUAUCAUUAUCAUUAUUAUCACUAUCAUUAUCAUUAUUAUUAAAUGCAAAGAAAAUAGUAGUCAAAGAAGACCUUAGACAACUAAUAAGUUUGAAAGCCCAAGUUACGAGACAAGCACAGCAAGAACAUACAAGCCCAACUAAAAAGUUUGAAAAACUUACACCCAGCCGGUAGCCUUUAAGUUAUUUCCAAGAUCAUUUAGCCAAAGCUCUGAAUUUCAUUGCCAAGCACAAGUUCAGUAAUCACUUAAUACCAUUGCUGAAUCUAUCGAAUUUCAAGUUUGAGUUCUAAACAUAAUGCCCAUGGUACAGGGAUACCAUCCUCCUAGAGUUUGUAAAUAAUAAUGAAAUUUCGUACUUUGACAAUUUCUUGCAUAUCCAAGCGGUUACUUAGGUAGCUUUUCUAAUGAUAGGAGUCAUUAAUAACCUCCAGGUCAAUAUUCCUAGCAUGAUUUCUUCAUAAAACUCCAAAAACAUACUUCUCCUACGUCAGUUUCUCAGUUUAUUUUUCUUUUUUAAAACAAGUCAGUUUCUCAGUUUAUUUUACAAUUUUUAAAACAUCUUCGUUAACCAACUAGCCGAACUUAAAACCAGAAAUAACCUUUCAGACAUGCCUAACAUUACAAUUCAUUGAGUUCACAUUUAAAGCACCAAAAUCAAGCAACUUCACACCACAAUUUUUAAUUUUACCUUUUCUCUAUUUGGAAUCAUUACUUUAUAGUUAAUAAGAAUGAAACAAAUGAAUCAUAAAACAAAAAAGAAAGAGCAAUGAAACCAAAGUCCAAAAUACCUUUGUGGGGAUGUAGGAUCCGCGGCCCAUUUGAAUGAGAAGGUGGGUAUAUCCUCUUGCAAACAACUCUCUUUUAAAUUCAUGAGUGUCUACUGCUUUAACAAGAGCAUCAAAACAAGUGGUUCCCACAGUCACAAAAACUGUCCUCACUGGCUUUAUAUAAUCAUCUGUAUCUCCCAUUUAUUGUGUAUGCUUAUGGCUAUCAGAAGCAACAUCAGAUGUCUAAUAAGAUAAAGCAAAUCUAAGGAAUCAAACAUUUAACAAAGGAGAUGAAUGACAUAGAUCAAAAAGAACCAAUAUCAGAAACCACAAAAAUUACUACAGAGAAAGUAAUUCAAUAAACCAAUGACAAAAAAAAUAAAUAAAUAAAUAAAUUUGAAUUUCAAACGCUAAAGUCAUGUUUGGCAACUGUUUUCGAAAAUAGUUUUUGUUCUUUUGUUCUUCAAAACAAAAAAAAAUGGGAAAACAAACAUUUGGCAACCAAAAAACAAAAAACAGUUUUCGGUUCUUAAAAAUAGAAAAUAUGAUGUUUUCAAAGAACAUUUUUUACUUGUUUUCACUUAUUUUCUAGGAGUUGUUUUAUAAAAUGAUUAUACAAAUAUGGAGAAUGAUUAAAUAUAAAAUACUACAUAUAAAAAUUAUUUUUAAAACAUAUUUAAAAACAAGUUUAAAACAUUUCAAGUUCUCAACAAACAUCUUUUCUAUAAAACAUCAUAGAAUAGUUUUUCAAAACUGUUCUUACAAACUGUUUUUUUCGUAAUUAUUUUCAAAAAUAAUUACAAACAAGUCCUAAUACUUGCAUCCCUGCUUUCUUAGCAUCAAUGACUAAUACAUCUUUAAAAAAAAAUGGAUUUAACACUCCUCUCAUGAAUAUAUACACAAUUUAAAAUACAUAGAUGAGGUAGCAAUUGGAAACACACCCAUUUUUUUCUGUUCUUACAAACAAGAAACAAGUCUUCUUUUCCCAUUCCCAAAUUUUUCAAAAGCAUGGAACAAAUUUUACAACACUAACUCUCCCUUGCUAAUAUAUACAUAGGUUGGUAAGCACAGAACAGGAAAUAAAGGAAAAAAAAUUAUACAUCACACAUUAAUCCUUCAAAAAGCAUAAAUAGCAAUAAUCUCAAAUCAUGUAUCUUUCUCCUAAGACCGCCAUAUAUAUAAAAUUUGGAUAAAACCAUCCCACAGAGGAAAACAAACAUAUUUUUUAAGAAUGUAUCAGGAAAUCUAUGGGCUCAAUUGCUAAGCUUUUUGACAUUUCUUAGAAUCUCAAAAAUAACAAGCACUAAGCUUCAGCCCAAUGUAAGUGGAUAUUCAAUUUCAUAAGUAAAAACAAACAACCCCAAAGCAAACAAAACAGUUUUCCCUGAAACAUAAUAUCAUAAGCCACCAAAAUUUUCCCAUCUUCUUCCCCAAUUCUCAGGGCACUUUGGCAUCAUCCACAACCUGAAACAAUACAAUGCAUCUCACAGACUUUAUCAAUUUCCCCAACCUCCUCACUCAACCCACCUCCAAAAAUCACCCCAAUUAAUGAAAUUUUGAUGAACCAAGCUGUUCCAAUCCAGAAUCAGGCACUUUCUCAGUACUCAUCUCAACCACCUCCCAGGAACAAGUCCUCCCGACCCAAUCUACACAACCACUUUGCCAACAGCGUGAAUUAUCCGGCUGAUAUCACCGGCGGAACAGCCUUGAUCCAAAAACAAAACAGCCUAUUUCAACGGUCAAAUUUUGCCAAGAAAAAACAUCUAUUUGUUAAUUUUUAACCCGAUUUAGCUUCAACAUGGGAAGCGGGGGCAAAACAUUUUUACCAUUUUCCGAGAAAAAAUUAUCUCUGCAACCAAACAAAAGUUUCCAAUAAACAAACCAAGAGGAGGAGUUGGAGAUGAAGACCGGCUUACCUAAUGGUGGGUUGAAAGAGAAUCUGUGUAAGGGUUCUGCAGACCAAUUGGCAACUGCCACUCAAGUUCUUCACUUCAACCCAAUUUAACAACGAUUCAGUGUGAUUUUGUUCUAUUAAUUUGGUUUAGAUUGAAGUCAAAUCGUAUAUUUUUUUGCUUUUCUCUUUGUUAUCAAAUUCAAAUAAUCAACAUUAAUACAAAUAAUAAUAAUAAUAAUAAUAUUAACGUGUGAUAGUGUUGCAAUUGGCCAUAAAAAUAAAAAAUAAAAAUAAAAAUAAAUUGUGAAAGUUAUUUAAGAAAAACAUUUUUAAAGAUUUAGAGAAAUGUUUCACAAAAUUAAAAGAAUUUAGUAAUUUACUUUUAAAAACAUGUAAAAUAUCACUUUUUAAAAAGGUUUUUUUGUCUUGAGAAAAUAAAUUUCCGAUAAUUCUAUUUUAAUUUUUAAAAUUUUUGCAAUUGAAACAUAUGGGUGAGAUCAAAUCCUCCUCAAUUGAAAUAAAACUCAAGUACUAACUCAGAUUUGGUUCAUGAGAAAAUAAAAUUAUUAUAUCAGGUUUGGUAAAUUUGAUUUUGAUUAUAAAUUUGAUAUUUUAAUUUUUAAGAAUGUUAAUAAAAAAUAAUUUUCAAAGAGAAAGUCAAUAAAAUAUGUCAAGUUAGACAGAUAUCAUAAAGAUAUAGAUGGAGGGUUGGGUUUGGGAUGCGUCAACCUCAUCUCAAUCUUGUCCUAUAUAUUUAAAAUAAUUCUCAUCUUAUUAAAAAAAUUGAAUGGGUGGGACGAAGUGGGUCGGGUACGUGAAUUUCUCAUAUUUGUCUUACCUUGCCCAUUUAUUUAUUUUUAUUUUUUUUGAGAAUUUUUUCAUUUUUUUAACUACAUUCAAAUAAAUAUAUUUUAUAAAUAAUUAAAAUAUUAUAAUUUUUUAUAACUUAUAUUAUUGAAAAGUAUUUUUAUUAUUAAUAAUAUUAUAUAUUAAAAAUAAGAAAAUUAAAUUAAAUUAAAUUAAUUUUACAUGAAAUCGGGAUAAGAUGAGGUGAGACAAUGUAAUAUGCGAACUCGUCCUGAAUUUUAAAAAAAGCUUCACACUUGUCUCUAACUCAUUUAUUUAAAUUUUAAACUCGUCCCAUUAGUAAUAAGUACCAAAAAAACGUCAUUAUCAUCCCUAUUUCAAAAAUAGGUAUUUAAAGUUAACUUUUCUACAAUAUCUUUUAAAUAUUAUUGUUGUGUUAUAUUAUAGUACAUUAUAUUUUUAUUUAAACACUUAAAAUCAUCCAAGUGUCUAAAUCAACUUUAUUAUUUUAUAACUUCCAUGAUAAAGUUUUCUAAAUGAAAACCACAUUUUAGUACUACUCAUGAUUUAAAAUGUUUUCUAAUGAUGCAAAAAUUUCAAAACUAUAGAGAUCAACUUUUUGCAUUUUUUUAAAAUAUUUUUUUAAAAAAAAAUGAAAUUGAUUUUUUAAGGAUAACAACUCAUGUUUUUUUACACAUGUUAUAUCUUUAAAAAGAGUUUUUCAAUCUUAAAUAUUUUAUGUUUAAUCAAACAAUUGACCGAUUGAUACACAAGGUCAACUAAUUGGAAAGAAUUUUUUUUAUAAAGAGUGGCAAAGGGUACAAAUCUAGCCUUCAAUAAAAAUAAAUAAAUUAAUAACCAUUAAAAUUGAAAUUAUUUUCAUUUCAUUUAUUUUAUUAGCUCCUUUUUUUAAAAUAAUUUAUAAAAAUUGUCCUUUCAAUAUAAGUCUCUAAGGUGCUACUAGUAAUUUUUAUUUUUUUUUUAAAAAAACAAAAAAAAAAUCCAACAAUACCCAAUUAUCUAAAGUAAUAAUAAAUGAAAGUAAUAUUAUCAUAUCUUUAAUUGGUUUAUAAUAUUGAAUGUUAAUUAAAUAAUUGAUUGUGUACAAUGACUGUUGAGAUUUAAUGAUUUAUAUUUCAUCCAAUCAUCCAAUUGAAAAUAAACAAUUAAAAUAAAAACUUUUGUUACUAUAAAUAAAUUUACAUGAAGUCAAUUGAAAUAAAAAAUAUGAAAAAAUAAAUAAAAAUACUUGUGAAAACUUUAGAGUUCAGUGUAAUAAUGUGAUUUAAAAAAAAAAAUUUUAAAAAAUAAAAAACAGAAAACUGUUUUUAAAGUUUUCUAAUACUAUUUGGUUGUUAUUCUCUAAAAGCAAUUUUUAAAAAUAAAGUGAAAUAGAUAACAAUUUUUAGAAAAUAAGUAGGAAUUGUUUUCACCGAUCUUUUUUUUCUUUUAAAAAAAAACAUGGAUAUGAUUGACCAUAUUUUCUAAAACUUAUUUUUAAAAACUAUUUUUUAUUGAAAACAAUAUUUAAAAACACGUUUAAGAAAACAUGUCCAAAUAAGCCCAUAUAUUUGAAGGCAUAACAGAUAAUUAAAAAUAAAAAUCCCUAAAUAUUGAAAAUUUAUUAUUAUUAUUUAAAAAAAAAAAAAGCCUACCUCUAUCUACUUGUCAAGACUAUUUAAAAAAUGGAUCAAAUUAUCUCAAAAUCACUUUUAACAAGCAUAUUAGUUGUAAUGAGGGUCUAAAAUCAAUUCCAAUAAUUAUUAAAAUUGGUUUUUUUUUUUUUUUUUUAAACAAGAAAUAUCAAGUGAUAUCCAUAACAAAAGAGAAUUCACAACCCAAUUGAAGGGGAUUCUUCCUCACCCUUAAUUGGGGUGAUUAUCAUAUGAGUGGAUUGUGAUUCCCCAUCCACUAGAGGGAAAUUUUUUGCCUUUUCUUAUAAAUUAAGAAAGGCAAAAAAUAUAAAAUAAUAAUAACAAUAAUAAUAAUAAUAAUCUUAAAAAUUUUCAAGAAUUUUAAGACUAUAAUAAUUAUUCAAAUUGGUUUUUUCUUAAAAAUUGAAUAUUAAAUGGGACCCAUAAACAUCCAAGAUGAUUUUCAUUUUAGUGGAUGAUGAUGAUUCACAACUCAAUUGAAGGAGGAUGCUUCCUUCCCCUUAACUUACACCCCCCUCCUUUGUAUUUUUUUCUCAUCCAUUUUUAAAGCCAAAAUAGCUAAUAAUUAUUAAAGUUGAUAUUUUUUUUUUCACAAAUAAAAUAGCAUAUGAGACAAUAAAAUCAUGUGGGAUGAUAGGCUAGGUUUUGGAAAAUGUCAAGAAAAAAAAAGUAAAAAAAUAAAAAUAAAAGAUGAAAAAAUAUAAAAAAAUAAAUUUAAAUUUAAUAAAUCAUUUUUAUGGGUUUUUUUAACUCGUUUAACUUAUUUUAAUUUUUUUCGUGUAAAAAUUAAAUAAAUAAAAAUAUAUAAACAUUUUUUUUAUUUUUGAGUACUUGUUUGAAAAAUAAAAAAUAAAUUACUAUUUUUUUCUUUAAUAUUUUCUUCAAACAAAGUAUAUGAUAAAUUGAAUGAGAUUUUCAAUUCAAGUAGGAGUUAUAAAAUCCCAAAAAGAUAGUCCAUUUCUCACAUAUAUAUAUAUAUAUCUUUUAAUCAAUUUUCAUGACUUUUUAAAACUAAAAAAAAAUCACAUAAUAAUAAUAAUAAAAAAAUUAUAAAUCUCUGUAAAAAUAAAAACCAUUUUUACAAGUAUCAUUCUAUUUCUUUUUAUAUUAAUUAAAUUAUGAAUACAUACAGAGUGAAAAUAAAAAAGAACACAAGAUUUUUAACAUGAUUUGGUGAUCAAUAUGAUCCUUACGUAACGGAGUGCACCAACACUCAAUAAUCCACUAAUUAAAGGAAAAUAAAAAGUGUAAUGGUGAAACUCUUAGAAAACAAACUGCAAUCUUUGAAAAAAACAAAAUCCUAAAACAAAAAUAUUAAAAUAUAUAAUAAGAAUAAAUUUGUUAAUCAUAUUAUAUAUAUAUAAAUUCUCUAUGAAAACACUUUUGAUGCACAAUAAAACUAAUUCACACUUCAUAAUCCAAUACUUUAAUAUCACAGUUGAUGUUAUCUUUAAAAAAUAUAAAUUAAACGCGUUUAUAUAAUAACAUGCUAUUUUUUAAUGAGACAUAUAGUUUUUUUUAGCAACCCAAUAAUUAUCUAUGACAGGGUGGUAAAAAAUAAUUGUAUAAUUAAUAUUUUUUUAUACAAAAUUUAAAUUUAAAUUGCUUGUCUAUUUAUAUACAAAAUGGGAUGAAAAAUAUGCAAUUAACGGUAAAAAAACAUAACAACAAAAGACAGUAAAAUAAAAUAUAAAUAACCCAAAUUUAAAAAGAUUAUCAAGAUUUAAGUAUUAAUUAAGACAAAAAUAAAAAAAGACAUGAAUUAUUAUUAUAUUCCUAGACGUUAAAGAUGGUUAUAGGAUAAAAGAUAAACACUGUUAUAUCAGUUACAUUUAAACGUUAAAAAUAAUAAUAGUACCGUUAAAAUACCGUUAUGAAAUAAACCAAAAAAAAACUAUGAAUUAAUAAAAUUUAUCAUCAUUUUUGCUAAGGUUUAGAUUUUUUUUUUUUUUUUUUUUAAGAAUGAAAUAUAAUUUUUUAUUUUUUAUUUUUUUAUGAGAAAAAUGAAGAAGUGGUUCCUUCAGACAGAAGUAUAUAAAUAAGAUUUUGAAAAGGCAAUUCAACGGUGGAAUAGAGAAAACCCAUAUGGAGAGUUGGUCAAGGCUCUGCUACUCUGAGAUGCUCUACAAAUUGAAUUCCCAUUUCUCCUUCAAUUUCAUCUUUUGCAGGCGCCUUCAAUUCAAUUCUGUCUCCAGAUUCUCUCUUUCUGGAUUUUCUCUGCAAUUUUCUAUCUAGAUUUCUCGAAAUCAGAGGAAGAAUUAUGGGUAUUUCAUUGAGUAAAUUCAGAAGGCAUCGCCACCAUCGCCGCCACAACCGACACCAAGCACAGCCACAGGAACGGCUGCAGCAGCCAAUUGCUGCUGCGUCUUCUUCUUCUCUUGAAACCCCACCUCUGCAGCCAACUCCGCCACCUUGUCUUCCGUCAACAUCGCAACCAACUCCGUCACCUUGUCUUCCAUCACCAUCGCCAUCAACUCCGUCAGCUUCUCUUCCACCGCCAUCACCACCUACUCCGCCUUCCCUUCCCCCGCCGUCGCCGCCAACGCCGCCACCGUUUCUUCCAUCGCCAUCAUCAACUCCUCCACCACCGCGUCCAUCGUCUCAGCCGUCGUUUGUUUUUGCGGCGAAUGCGCCUUUCCCAUCGACUACACAAGGGCCUUAUGCGGGUUUGCCUUCUCCUUCGGCUCCAGCGCAGCUUUCUUCGAAUUAUGGUUCGCCCAUGACGAUGGAUGGAUUCGGUUUCUCUCAAUUUCCGGCCAAUUUUAAUCGUGGUUAUUCCGGGUGGGGCGGGUAUGUCCCGACACCGCCGCCGCUGCCGUCGCCAUCGCCACCGCCAUACGUGGAUCACAUGAGUGCCAGGAAGAUCAAGAAUGAUGUGAAUGUUCACAAGGAUACUAUAAGGGUUGAUUGGGAUGAGAAGAAUUUGGACUCCCAUUUGGUUUCUUUCACUUUUGAUGCUCUGGUCGACGGCAGGUAUAUGGGCUUUUUAUUUUUAAUUGCAUUUUGCUUUUUGAUUUUGAUGUACUGUUGAUACAUUUUCUAGGCUGCCAAACUGACUGUUAUCUAAGUUUUCUGUUGGCCUUUAUGCUUUGCUUGGUAGUAUAUACGUGGGCUUUUACUUUAAUAGCUGUUUGGCUGUUGUUUACCCUUGUUGUCUUUCUAAUUUUGAUUUUCUUUUGAUACAAUUUCUCAAUAACCAAACAUUCUGUUGUUUAAACUUUCUUUUACUUUUGCUGCUAUGGUUGGUGGUAGCCCCACAAGUUUGUAUUUUUGGCUUCUAUUUAUUUACUAUUUAUGCUUUUUCUUUCUUGAUAUUUUGGUCUUUAUUUUGCAUUCGUAGUUGUAUGGAUUCAUCAAUCGGUACUGUUAAUUCGUGUUUCUUAGUGUCAUUUUUUAAUUUGAAUUGCUAAGUGACAACGAAUCCUAGGCUUUAGUUUAGGGGGUUAAAUAUCUAGAAUCAACAACAAAGACUCAAUCAGAUGAUCAAUGAAAAUAUCUCAUUUGAAGGGCUACAUAUUAUCUAUUUCCAUUGUGAUUGAUCAUUCCUCUUCAUCCCCUUCAUGGAAAUUUCAUUUUUGUUAAAAGUUACCCUACCAGGAGAUUGAUGAUCCAAAAGUCUCGCACUUUCUCUGAACAAUCCUUAGAAAGAGAGAGUCAUGUCCUGAAAGUCUCACACUUUCUCUGAACUAUCUUUAGAAAGAGAGAGUCACUUCCCUGGUUUUCUCCAACUUGUUCUCCUCAAGUUCUAUUUAUUUAAUUAUUUUUUCUAGCCCUUUUCCUUUUCCCUCAUGCUAAUUUUAUUUAAAACUUUCAACAAGUCAAGUCAUUUGCUGAGAUGCUGCCUAAUAAAAGGGGUUAAUACUAAUGACUUGUUACAAAUCAAGAUAUCUUUUAAAACACUGUCUCGAGCACUGCAUCCAUUGCCCAGGCAGUGGUGGACAACAUAUUACAUUGUUUUUCAUUGCCUUGCUGUCAUGCUAUUAUAAUACAGGUCAUUUUGGUUGGUGUGUGUUUUUCUUGGGUUCCACCUGGAGUAGAUUAUAUGAUGAGUAUGGACUUUAAAGGUCUUGGCAAGAGCUCCAGGAGGAAAAUGACCCAGAUGUUGAUUGGGAGGCUUGGGUAGUUGGGAUUGGGGUGUUUCUAGAGAUCAUUUUGGGCAAUGUAGUUAAAGCUUUUCCAAGAUAGCUAGUCCUGGGUUAGCCAUUGAGGCUAAUACCUUUGCUCCAUUAGAACGGUUGAUAGGGGAGACAUCUUUAGGCAGCACUAAUAUUCAUGUCGAAAGGGAUUCAACUAUUGUUCUCUCAUGAGUUUCUUAGGGUAUGGGAGGGCCUUGAAGCUGAAUCACAUAACAUGGGAAGUUUUAGUUUUCUUGACUAUGUGCUCCCCUCAAAUUUGAGAAAAUCUUAUUCCCAUGGCGAACUUGGUUGUUUUUUCCCCAUCCUUAGGAAAUGAAGAUAAAAUGAAGGUAAAUUACCAAGAUUACAAUUUCUAUAAUAGAAAUAAAAUUUUAGGGGAAUUUGAAAUUCUCAACUUCAAUCAAAUGUUAGAAACUAUGAUUUUCAUUACCAAGUUUAGAUGUUGACGAACCAAAAACACCUUAAUAUGGUUUAUAGAUAUCUUAAUUAGGAGAUGGAUAUCUUAUUUCCGAGUAUAAAAUUAUAAUGUUUGAGUAGACAUAACUUGGAAAGUUUUAAUUUCCCAGGACAUUAGAUCCCUUCAAAUUUGGAAAAAUCUCAUACUCGUGUUGAAAGUAGUAUUUUGUUAUUACCAUCCGUAGGAAAUUUUUAUUUCUUUCUUUAUUUAUAGAUCCAAUUUUUAUAAAUCUUACUUAAAAGAGUAGUUAUGUAAAUUUACAUUAAUCCUUGGAUAGUUUCCAAGGUUACUAAAUUCAAUAGUAGAAACUAAAUUUGGCAGGAAUUUCAAAUACCUAAUUUUAACCAAAUGUUACAAGAGAAAUAUUAUAUUUAUUACAUUCCAGGAAUUUAUUUUGGACAAUAUGAUUUCCAUUCCCAAGUUUAGAUGCUGGUGAACCAAACACAUCCUAACACAUUCUUGGUUCUUCCAGGGUAUUGCUUUUGUUUUAUUUCCUUUUUCUCCCAUUUUUUUAAUUAUUCAGGUUAAUCUGACUUGAACUAUAACUCAUCCAUUCUUGUAUGCUUUUGUUUAUCAAUGGAACUUUUGAUUCUUAUAAAAACCACCAAUUCAGAAAACUCAUAUUACAACUUUUCUCUGAUUGGAGUUGGAUUUCUAAGUUGGUCAGAGUUCUUGGUGUUCCACCUAGGGAUCAUAUCUUCUGUUGAAAAAUUUUGUUCAUGGGUGCUUACACUUUAGAAGUGAUAACAAUUGAUCAAACAUCCUCCAAUCAUUCUGCUUUCCCCAAUGAGGCUUUGAAGAAAUUUCUUGUGUUGCUGAAUUAGACUAUAUUUAUUAAGUAGUAGCAGUGCGGUUAGAAUGAUGCCCAGUGCACAAUUCUAGGUAGAAAUAAUAUCUGAAGCUUUGCCUUCCAAUAUUAUUGAUUUCAUGAAGUUUAAAUGCCUUUUAACUCAACUGCUCAUGGAAGUUGUUGGAAGUUCUUCUGAUACCCUAAAAAAAUGGAAAUCCUGUUCUAGUAGAUAUAGAAAACUUUUGCACUUUGGAAAUGCAAAUGAUGUUGUUUUGAUUUCAUCUUUAUGUCUUUAGAAGGAAUUAAUUGAGAGACAGCAAUAGAAUCGUUGUUUAUUGAUUCUUCAUUUGUGUUUCUCACUUCAGCAAUCGUUGAUUGUCGAAGGUAACUCUGCUGAUGUUAGUUGUUCAGUGAAAUGGUCAUAGUAAUUCAGUAUCUAGCAAACCGAAAUGAUUGUGUGAUGUUUCCUUAAAGUAAUGACUAGAGUUUCAUCAUCUGGUCAGCAGUUGUUGAUGGUAGACAGCGAUUCUGUCAAUGUUAUUUGUAGGGUGAAGCAAGAAAAGUAACUCAUAAUUUACUAAACCUAAAUGAUUGUGUGUGAUGUUUCCUUAAAUUAACGACUAGGUCCUAGUGAAUCAUAAUGGAUUCAUUCAGCAAUAUUGCCACUGGUAACAAGUGAAGGACAAUGAAGGAACAGUAGGCCAAAUCUUACUCUCCCUAUAGGCAACAAAUCUCUUGAGGCUAAUAGCUUUAUAAAGUUUCUUCAGCUGAAGCUAAUAGCCACUGGAAAACUAUGACUUUAGCAGGAGCUUUAGACAACUACUUCAGGAAAAAAGAUUCAGGCUGUCCUUGAAAAGGAAAAAUGAAGGAUUUUUGAAGAAAAUGAAUCUGUCCCAUCCAAGGACUAAUAUCUCUUGUUUGGGGAACAAGAGGGAAGCCAAAUCAAUAAUUUUACUAUUACUGAGGUUUCAUGCAAAAGAGAAUCACUGGAAAAAAAAUACUACAAAAAAGUGUAGAAGUUGCUACUUGCUGCUCCUCAAAUGAGCAUAAAGCUAAAGGUAGGAAGAGUAAAAAAGAUCUCUUUGUCAAAAGUCCUCCCAUAUUGUCAUCUUAGAUCUUUGCUAUUACUGAAUCUAACAAUAGGAAGAAAGGGUUGAAACCACUGGUGUUAAGGAGUGCAAAGAUGGAGAUCUUAUCAUGCUGAGAUUCCUUACUUGAAGGAAGACGAAAAUUUAUUAGAGAAAAGAUAUAGGAGAAGAAAAUCUAUUGAAGAAAAGGGGAGAAAAUAAAUGGAGAGGAGUCCAACAAAAAGGUGUCAGAAUGAGAAGACUCUCUUGGGAGGGAAAAGCAUGGGUAUCUCCAAGAACUAUAUAUCCAAAUUCAAAGCAUUCCUCUGGACUAAAAUGUUCUCCAUGUUCUAAAGAAUUUGAGAACUCAAGGAGACAAGAUAAAAUUCUAGAUUUUUUUUCCUGGAACAUAGAUGUUAAUCAAGAACGGUUCGAUAGGUUUGGAACUAGAGUUUGGUAAGUUUUUUAAGGGAUCUAUUGAAUUAAGAUAGGUUAGCUUUCCAGAGUCUUUAUAAUAUACCUUCCUGUAGUGUGAUGAGAAGCUUAUUGGUUUUCUUUGCUUUAUAAUGGCUAUGAAUUCAAGAAAUUUUUAUAAUAUUUAAAACUGAUUGGUUAAGCAAUUGUUGGAAUUUAGAUUUUUCCAGUACUCUAUUGGGUGCUGCUGGUAUGAAUUUUUCUCCAUUUUUUUUUUUGGGAAAUUUGGUCUGAUAUUUUUAUUCUAAAUUUACUGUGUUGUCUGGCUAAAUAUAAAUCUUUUGGGUGGGUGAUAUGUUCCAUUGGCUAGUUGAUAUUUUCUUUCAUGCUAUGCUAUUAAUUAUCUUAUGAAGGAAUUGUGAAAAAUCACAAUUAUGAUAGUUAUUAAUUACUUGUCUGUGGGAUCAUUGGAUGUUGACUAAGGUUUAGUUCUUUAUCUCCCACCUUCUUAUGGUUGGGUGAGCAAGCUCUUAGUGCACUUUGAGUACUGGAUUUUAACUAGCUCAUUUGUUUAUGGUUUGAUCAUGCUAGUGCACUUGAAUGCUUGACUUGCUCAUUUGUUUAUAUGUUGGUCAUACUGAUUUAUUUUAUUUUUUGUUGUGACCUUUUUGUGAAUAGACAGGAGAGUAAUUUUGGCAUCUCAUUAGUACUAUAUUACUUAACGGUUUCCUUUUCUUUGUUUUCCCUUUUCCUUGAUACAGCAUCACCAUUUUUUACUUUGCCAAGGAAGGAAAUAAUUGUUCCUUCACUCCUUUAUAUCCCGAGAUAUACAUGCCGAUUAGAAUUCCAUUCCAAAAUGGGUUGGGUCAAAAGUUCUGUCAGCGCUCAGGAACUGGCAUUGACCUGGGCUUCUUUGCCCUAGAUGACUUAUCAAGGCCAUCACAGAACGAAGAGGUGUUCCCACUGGUUAUCUAUGCAGAAUCAAGUCUGCCAUCACUUCCGCCAAUGCAUGAGCAGCUUGGUCAGCCUCCGCCUAUCGCUCCUUCCCGUGCACAGAUUACUCAAGCUGUGCUGGAGAAGAAUAAUGAGGGCCAUUUCCAAGUGAAAGUCAUCAAGCAGAUCUUGUGGGUCGAUGGAGUUCGCUAUGAGCUACGUGAGCUCUAUGGCAUUGAAAAUUCUGAUGAAAGGGGUAUUGGCAACAAUGACACAGGGAAAGAAUGUGUUAUUUGCAUGACGGAGCCAAAUGAUACUGUUGUUCUACCUUGUCGUCAUGUGGUGAGAGCUUCAAUUUUCAGCCUAUCUAUCUGUUUAUUUAUUGCUUUCGUAGAUGAAAUCCAAGGUAACUAAUUGAAGGCAUUGUUUUAAAAACCAGUUUUCACUCAUGAUUUGGUUUGAUCUUGAUCAGUCAGUGGUAUUGUAUGUGUGUUGAUUCUGUCACAUUAGGUUGACUCUUUACAUUUUCAAUGAGGAAUUGAGGAACAAUGCUGACCUAUGUGUUAGACUCAUCAAUUGGUCCUAGUUCUCUUGGUUUGUACAUCAGAUUUGACACUUAACCAGCUGGGUAAUUCUAUGAAAGUUUAGGAAAGUACUUGUAGUUCUUGUUUUUUAAAAUGGUGAAAUUUCAUUAAGGUGUCUAGUUGGCCUUUCAAUCCACAGGGUUGGUGUGGUGUUCAAAACAUCUGACUGUAGGAAUUUUCACAUACUAGCUGAUGCAAAGACUCCUAUUGGAAGACUUUUUUAGGCAUUAAAUGAACCUGAUUGGAUUUUGUUAUUCCUACUAACUAGUCACAAUUUUAUGGAAGGUCGAAAUAUUUGCUAUGUCAAGUGACAAAUGUUUCAAGAAAAUCUUGUGUUGUCAUGAUUAAUACUCUUGACCCAGAAGUCAUUUCCUGGAAGAAAGCCCAUAAUAUAACAUCACUUGAAUGGCUAUAUCUGUUGUGGUACAUGCAUUCUCUACAGUGGAAAAAUGUGGUGGAGACUGGAGACAAUUUCCACUUGAACUCUUGGUUAAAAGAGGAAAAACAAAAGAAUCCAACUUGAAUUUCUUAGAAGAAUUUCCAUCUAGCAGAACACAAAAUAUGAUGUAGUCUGGGAAAAGUAUCCUAUAGAACUGAUAUCAUUUGCCAACUGCAGGUUUAAAUUUAGAUUGUGUAAUGAGGUAAUUUGAUUAACAUUUAUUGGUGAUGAAAUGAUAUCAAGUGCAAGAAGGAAAAUCUAUGGGAUAACAGAAAUAGAAUAUCCCAGGAAUGUUUAACCAAAAGGUUGUAGGAACUAUUUGGGUGAUACUUUGUUCUGUUAUUGUUUGUGCCGACUUUUCUCUCUGUGCAUGUGUCUCUGUUUGCUCUCAAGUUGAACCUGGGUUUGCAUUUUCAGUGUUUAUGCAGUGAAUGUGCAAAGCAGCUAAGGCUUCAGUCAAAUAAGUGUCCCGUAUGUCGCCACCCCAUCCAGGAACUCAUAGUGAUUGUCCAUAAAGGUAACAAUUGAAACACCUUUUUUUUCGUGGUGAUUCCCCAUAUGAAUGUAGCAUUUUGUCCGGAAAAUAAGCAAUUCAUUGCCUUACAUAUAUUCUCUCUGUUCCCAGAACAAUCCUAAUCCGAUAACUCAGCAGGAUGACUGCUGCCCUUGCAAAAGAUUUCACCAGACUCUUAGGUGGGAUCAAUCACAUGGCUUCAAAACCACAGUUCAUAUGCGGGAGAUGCUAUGAUCGCAUGUGAGAGCUUGUUUAUAGGGGGUAAAACUUUUUUUUUCCUGUGUUUAAUUUUUCAUUACAGUCAAGAAAUAUGACAUUUUCAUUGGUUGAGUUUACAUAUCUUGAUGAAGGAGAAAGAAGUACAAAAAUUUCUUUUGGAAUAUACCAAAUUCUACAGAGGAAGAGUUGAAUUGUUGUGUUGAAAGAGCAGCAUUGUAUUAGUGAAGGAAUUUUACCCUUGGAGAAGAGUUGUAAUAAAGCUGACAGUAUCUGCUUGUGUAGCAUUCUCUGUCUCCCUCUCUCUCAUAUAAAACAAAACUUAUGUAUAUAGGAUGAAAGGAAGAGAAUAUGUGCUGUAGAAGUUAGCAUGAGAUGGACAAAGUAUAUAUCUUGGAAUCUGUGAAAGUUUGGAAGUAGACUGUGUGUUAAGAGAAUAGAGACCAAAAGCAAGGUCUUUGAUCAGAUCCCCACCACCCUUACUGUUGAAGAUUUGGAUCUUCCUGGGUUUUUUUCUUUGAGGCUCCACCACACUACAUAAUCAUUAUAUACCAAAAAGCACAACCAAUUAGGAUACACCACCUGUAUAUUUAGGUCUUAUUGCUUUGUAACAAGUUCUGCUCUAUUAUUCUAUUCCUUGAUUCUAUUAGUUGUACUUGAUCUCAUUCUUUUAUAGUUUAAUCUUAUGUUUUGUAUUUUUAAUUUCAUUCAAUGACCUAAAUCUUAUUAUGCACUUUUAAUAACCUGAUUACAUAUUUAAAAACAUUUUUAUUUAAAACACUUUAAAUAAAAACACUAUCGACGCACUCCCGAUCGGAUCAUCUCCCGGAACCUCUUUAGCAGAUGAGACUCACAUUUUGGCUAAUUACUCUAAUCUCUAUUUUAGUCCUCUCUAAGAUUUCUCUUCAAAAUCUUUGUUGGGAAAAUGGUGAUCUUUUCAGAAAUGCCUUUCAGUAUUACAUUCAAUGUAAUGUCACAGUGGGUUGUUCUUUUCUUCCCUGUAAGAUGAAAUUUGCUUGGAGCCAACCCACUUUAAUGACUAGGUUUUCAUUUUUAUUUUUGUCAUUUUAUGUGACCAUGGAUCUGUAUGGUAGCUAGAUCUGAAAGCUGUAACCACCCCAUAAAGAGCUGGGAAUAGAGGAACAAAACCUGACCCAAAAGACAAAUUGGAAGUGGGUCCAGGGUCCAGGGUCCAGGACCCAGGAGCAAGUGCAUCCAUUGGGUUGACCCAAACCCCUGCCCCAUUGGACCCCCAAAACAAUGACUGACCACACCCACACCACCCACCCACCCUCAUGCCCCCCAACAUAAAGAAGCCUCCUGCUCCCUUCUCAGAAGUCUGAAGUGGUUGUCCCUCAAAUUGGAGAGGGUACCUUCACACCUAGUCUGCUGCAGGGCAGCUGGCCUUAAUCUCUCAACAACUUCAUGAACAAGGCACGAGGCUGAAGCUACUGUCCGUCAGUUUGUGGGGUACACUGACCUUCUCCUUUGUUGGGGACCCCACAAUUUUACUUGUUCACUCCUCACAAGUAAGCUGCCAAAGUGUGAACAUCUCAUUAUUAUUCUCUCUCUCUCUCUCUUUAAUUUUGGAAUCUGAGCCAUGGCUCCUUUCUCCUCCUUAGUUGCUUUUUUUUUUAUUAUUAUUAUAAAAUUUCCAUUUUGUACUUUUUUUUUUUCAUUUUUAUAUUUAUGAUUAUGAAUUAAAUUUCUAUGAUAAAAUGUAUAAAUUGAGAAAUAAAAAUGGGGAAAAUUCAUCUUGAAAGGAGAGACAAUGAAAAGCAAAUGCAACUUGCUCUUAAAUCUGUACUAAGAUCAAAGAAUUUAUUAUUCUAUGAUGUGUUUGGUACCGAUUUUCAAAUAUAAUCAUGAAAAAUAAUUUUAGAAAUAUUACAUUUAUGAAAAACAUUCUUUAAUGUUUUAUAAAAAAAAACCCAUUUAGAAAAUAAAAAUAUUUUAAAAUAUAUUUUAAAAAUAAUUUUUAUGUUUGAUGUUUUAAUUUUAAUCCCCUUCGUGUCGGUAUAAUUUUCUUUAAAAUAUACAUUAAAAAUAAUUAAAAAAUAUUCUUUAAAAAAAUUAUAAUUUCAAUUUUUAAGAAUAGAAUUUUUUUUCUGUUUUGAUUUUUGAUGUUCUUGUCAAUUUGUAGCUUGAGCAGAGUCCAUAGGCAAUGGAUUAGUUUGUUGAAUUCAAAAGGUUGCCAAUCACCUCUUCUUUAACCUUUUCUCUUAUUUGAAUCAAUUCACUUUUGACACAUUUUUUCACACACAAUCAGAUAGGAGCAGUGUGAUCACUAGUCACCUGAAGUUCUCCUCAGGGAUUUGGGAAACCCAAAAAAAAAAAAAAUUAAUAUCCUUGAAAACCCUCUUAACCAAUUAUAUUUUUUGAAACAUAUAUUUUAAAUAUUUAUGAAUAAUUAUUUUUUUUUUCUUAAGAGAACUUGAAACCUCCGACAAAUUCAGUGAAAUCUUACUUUGAUUCAGAUGUUAAGGGUUAGUGUCUGGUCGUAUUGACACAGAUCCCGAUAAAAUUGAACACAAAAAUAAAGGAUUAGAGAAGUUGAUUAGUCAAAUAUGGAAUACAAAAGGCCAAUUUGUGACCUACCACAAUGCCAUAAAAAAGCAUGCUUAGCAAAAAUAUCAGUAUUUGGGUUUGUGCAUUGUGGUGGGAUUUUCUCUUUUGGCACCAUUCAAACCUCUUUUACAGGGAAAGGAAGGUUUUCAAAAGGACAGUGGUUUCUUGAUGGGUUAGGCUUUUAAGGAGAAGAAACAAUUAUUUGGUUGCAAAAGAAGGGUCCAUACUUCAAAUUAUGCAGAAAAGUAUGGUCCAAACUUAGAGAAAAUCAUUCUUCCUCACAACCACUUUUCUUUUUCUUCUUCUUUUUUUUUUUAAAGCCCUUUUGUUUGUUUGUUUGUUUGUAUAUAAGGGCUAACGAGUGGAUUAGGUUUGGGGGAUGGUUUUACCAUGACCCUUUAGUGAAAUAUCUAUUUAUUUUUCUUUUGGUCGGUUGUCAAAAGGGGUAAUGUUGUCAUUUUUAGUACCAUAUCAUUGGCUUUUUUCUCUUAAUGCAAAUAAUAAUUAAUGAAAAUUACAAGAUUACCAUAACAAAAAAAGGAAAAUGAUCUAAAGUCGUGUAAGCGAAUCAAUUAGUUUUGUUCAAUCUCGUCUUAAGCAUAUUCUAAAGCUAAUAUCCCUUCCUCUAAUCUAUUGUUUUCAACCAUCGCUAUAAAAUGGAGUUAAUUUCGCCAAUUCAUUAAUUACGUUAUCACCUUUUCGUGUUAUUAAGAAGUAGUCAUUCAAGUCUGUCUCUCUAUACAUUUGUUCGAAUCGAUAUUUAUUCAAAUAAUGUCAAGGGAAAACAGAAAUAUACAUUUAUACCGAAUCAUUCAAAGAUUCAUUGAAAAAAUUGUUUGAACAUGAGACAACAUUAGAUAUUAUUAAAAUACUUAUUUAAAGGGGUAUAUGGACAUGAGAUUAAAGUAAAUAAACAUUUAUAACGAAUCUUAUUAAAAGAGUACGUACAAAGAAAUGUUCACGAGACAUGGUUAGAAGUUUAUCUCUUACACAUGCUUUGGUUAAAUGGUGACAUGUGACCUAAUUUUCUCUCAUUUAAGUAUAAAAGGUGUUUGAUGCAGGUGGCUUACACCUAACUUUUGUCUGUUGAUACCUUCCAAAAUGACAUUGCAAUGUUGCCUUUUUAGGAGCUUGUGAUAUUAAAGUAUAGAUUUCAUAGCUUACAGAUUAUAGCAAGCUUGGUUAUGAUGUAGAAAAAUAAAAAUAAUGAUAAAAUUAUUAAUAACAUUUUUUAGAAAUAAUCACACACGUUUGCUUGCCAUGAUACACAAAAAUUAUUAGAAAAUAUGGUGAAAAUUAGAAGAUGAGUUUGCAAGUUAUUUUCUAUUCAAAUAAGUAAAAACAGUCAAAAAUAAAAAUAAAAAUUUAGGAUAUGUUUGAAAACUGUUUUUUAUAAUAAUUUUCUAGUUUACAGAAUAAAAAGAUGGAAAAUAUGUUUGUCAAUCAAAAACUAUUUUCUAUUUUUUGUUUUUAAGAACAGAAAAUAGAGUUUUUCAGAUAAUAUCUUUUAAUUAUUUUUUAUUAUUUUCAUUUGUUUUCUAAGGGUUGUUUUAAGAAAUAAUUAUAUAAAAAUAUAGAAUAAUUAAAAAUAAAACACUGGAUGUAAAAAUUAUUUUUAAAAAUAUUUAAAAUAGGUUAAAAACUUUUUAAUUUUUUAAAUAGAUUUUUGUUCUAAAAAAUCAAAGCAUAAUUUUUAAAAACUAUUCUCAAAAUAUAUUUUUUUAGAAUUGUUUUAAAAAACAGUUACUAAAAAAAUUAUAAAUAACAAAGAGAUGCAUGAAUUUUUAUAAUGUUUAAGUAGUAUAAGAUAGAAAAAAUUAAUAAAUAUACAAGAAAAACAAAACCCUAUAUUUUCUAGAGGCAUAAAAUAUUUUAUUUCAUUUUAUUUGAAAAUAUUUAAAAGGUACUUCAAGAAAUCAUGCAUUAAUGAUAUUAAGUUAAAUUAAUUUACUCCCUAACAUUCUUUCUUGCAAAGUGAUCUCAAGAAUCCAAACACUUUUUGACCAUUGUGGGGGCAUAAUUGUUUUUCUCCAAAAAAAUGAAAAUAAAAAUUGGUUGGUGAUUCUAUGAUAUGGGUCAUGGACUUGCCAACAAAAACAUUUUACUUUUGGGUAUUUGGACACAUGCUAAGGGGCUAAGACAACAGCAGUGUAUUUUUUCUUUUAUGGAUUUGGUGAUUGGGACAAGCAAGGAACAUUCACUAACCUUUGUUCCUUGACCACCCUACAUUUUUUUUUCCUUCUUUUUUUUUUUUUCAGGUUUUUUCCCCUUUUUUUAUAUAUUUAAUUUUAAGUAGGGUAGGUGUUAAUUUGGCAUUUAAAUUUUUUUACACCUUUUUAUUGGGUUUUAUUCAUUAGAUUUUGAAAUUUUCGUAUAUGCAUAUAUAGAAUAUAUAUGCGCCUUCUAGUUAUAGCAUAUGUCACCUUAAUUUUUAAUAUAAGAAAAAAAAAAAGUAAGUUCAAAUUGAGCAUGUCGAUUUGGAGUCCAAGUUGGAUUUUGUUAAGUUCAAGUGAAAAUUAAAUUCUUUGUCAAUUUUAUUUAAUUUAUUGAGUUAUAAUAUUAUUUUAGGCUGCGGAAUUCACAAUAAAUCUUGAAUUGGUGAAAAUUUUGAGACUUUAAAUUAACAUUAGAAACUCGUAAAUUUUUAUCAAACUUAUCGAUGGAUCAGUCAAGGUAAGUUAAUGAAUUUGUAAUUAUAGAUUUAUAGAACUGUUAUACAAAUAAAAUAAUUUCACUAAUUUGUUUUUUGGAAUAGAGAUAUGAUAUGUAUAGUCUUCUAGCUCAUUGAAAGUGGGACAUGAGGUAUCAUUUAGUAUAUUUUGGAAAUCAAGGAAAUUAGUGAAGGAAUGUCUAUACCUAACAUUCAUUUGAUCUUGUUUUUUUUUCUAUAUUGGGUAGGGCUAAAGAUGUUACCAAUAUAGUAAUAAUGUAUCCAUCUCAAUGAUUAAGCCAAGCUGCUAAAUCUAAUGAUAUAAAGGCAAGUCCAGCGGAUAUCUACUGUCCAAAGCCAUUUCUCACUUCUUUAUUUUCCCUUUUCUUGUGGCCUAUACAACCCUCCUCUCUCUCCUCUCUCUCUCUCUGAUAGAUAAAAAUUUCAAAACAGCAUCACCCACACAACCCUGAAAUGGAGGAAGAAAGCUAAAAAAAGAAGAAGAGAAAAGAUCAGUGUUUAAUGCCCACCAACCCCUCUGAACUCUCUCUCUCUCUCCCUCUCUCUCAAAACUUAAAAGCUUCUAGCUACUCUCCAUUCCAAGCUCAGAGGCUCAGCCUCAUUUCCUCUCUCUCUCUCUCUCUGCCAUUUGUGUGUCAUAAGAAUGAGUAAACAGGAAUUCUUGCAGUCCCAGGUACACACCAUUUCAUCUAUAUUUUUCAUGAUCUGAAUUCUGAAAUCUGAAAUCUGAAAUCAAUUUCUUGUUUGAUGUUGGGUUUUAUUUCCCUUGCAGACUUGUGUUCUCAAAGUUAAUAUCCACUGUGAUGGAUGUAAGCAGAAAGUAAAGAAACUAUUGCAGAAAAUUGAUGGUAUUUUCCUCAUUUUCCUACCAUUUUAGGCCCAGAGAGUACUAACCUUCAGGAAUUUAAGUAUGAUUGCAUGCAUUUAUUUGGAAUUUUCAGCUGAUUUUGUUUGUUGGGGUGUUUCUUUAGGGGUGUAUACUACCAUUAUAGAUGCAGAUCAAGGGAAAGUGACAGUGUCAGGCUGUGUAGAUCCAGCCACACUCAUAAAGAAGCUUGUGAAAUCAGGGAAACAUGCAGAGCUAUGGGGAGUUCAGAGGGGUCCAAACCAUCUCAAUAUGCAGUUCAAGAACAUGCAAAUUGACAAUGGUAAGGGUGGCAAAGACAACAAAUCUCAAAAGGGUGCUCAAAAGGGUGGCCAACAACCCCAACAAAUGCAGCAGAUGAAGGGGUUAAAGGACAUGAAAAUGGCGCAAUUCAAGGAUUUGAAGGUGCCCUCCAAAGAUCAGAAAUCUGUCAAGUUCAACUUGGCUAUGGAUGAUGAUUAUGAUGAUGAAAGUGAUUUUGAUGAUUUUGAUGACUUUGACGAUGAUGAUGAUGAUGUGUUUGAUGAUGGCUAUUUUGCUGAUCACCAUCAUCUUAAUCCACCUUCCAAGAUGAUGCCCAUGUCCAUGAUGGGUAAGGGCCAUAUGCCUCAUGGGCCUAAUGGGAUGAUGAUGAUGAAUGGGCAUCAUGCCAUGAAUGAUAAGAAGGGUGGGAAUGGGAAGAAAGGGGGUGUUAUUGAUAUCCCUAUACAAAUGAAGGGCAUGGGUGGAAACAGUGAUGGGAAGAAUGGCAAUGGAGGGAAAAAAGGUGGUGGUGGUGGUGGAAAUAACAUCAAGGGAGGAGCAAACCAAAAUCAGGGUGGUGGGGCUGCUAAAAAUGGUGGCAAAAAUGGUGGGGUGUCACUCGGAGAUGCUAAAAAUGUUAACAAUGGUGGCGGUGGCGGUGGAAACAAGAAGGGUGCCAAUCCUGGUGGUGGUGGUGCUGGAGGUGGAAACAGUAAUGGAAAUAUGGGCAAGAAAGGGGGAGGAAAGAAUGAUGAGAUCAAUGUCAUGAACAAGAAGCAACCUGGGUUCCAUGACAUUGAUGUUGGUCAUCCUGGCAAGGGGGGUGGAAACAUUGGCCAGAUGAGCCAUAUGGGGCAAAUGGGUCAGAUGGGGCAAAUGGGUCAGAUGGGCCAGAUGGGCAAAAUGGGUCAGAUGGGCCAAAUGGGUCAGAUGGGCCAAAUGGGUCAGAUGAGCCAGAUGGGUCAGAUGGGUCAGAUGGGUAAUUACCCAAUGGGCCAAAUGAGGAAUAUUCCGGCGGUGCAGGGUCUACCUGCACCCUCGGCGAUGAACCAAGGAUACUACCAAGGGAUGGGGCCAGGGAACCCCUACAGCCAGCAGUACAUGGCCAUGAUGAAUCAGCAGCGGGCGAACCCAAACGAAAUGUUCCAACCUAUGAUGUACGCACGGCCGCAGCCGGCGAUCAACUAUGGGCCGCACCCGGCGGUGAUGCAGCAGUAUCCGGUGUCUGAUCCUUACACUCACUUCUUUAGUGAUGAGAACACUAGUAGUUGCAGCAUCAUGUGAAUGUGGCAUAUUACUCAUAUAAGCUUUAAUGUUUUGUUGGGUUUGUGGAAGGUUGAUGAGAAAUAUCAAAUGUGCCCUAUAUGUUAUAACUUUGGAAAUGGGUUAUUUUUUGUACCAUUAAUUACUCUUCCCUUAUAUUGUUUUCUUGACAAUCAAGUCACUACUAGGGUUUUGAUUCAUAUUUUGAGACUUUGAGGGAUUUGGUCAUGAGGGUUAAUUCUCUUCUCACUCCAUAAGGUCACAUACCCUAAAAGAGGGUGUUGUAGCUUUUGUCAAGAGAUGUCUCUAUGUCUUCUUUUGAAUCAUCAGUCGAAAGCUAAUAAGUGGCAAUUGAAGAACAAUCUUCCCUAUUUUAUCCAAAUUUCAUAGUCCACUCCCUUUCAUUUUGAUGGUGUGUCAUAUAUUUAUUUUUAAAUUAUAUGACAUUGAGGAGGCAUGUACCAAAAUUUUAAAAUAAUGAUUGAAUUUAAUUAUAUAAUAUAAGUAUUUGAAUAUAUAUUAUUAGGUGGCCAUUGUUUUUCGAUUGAAUAGAUAAAACUAAAAUAUUUGAUUUUUUUUUAUUUAGUUAAAGUAAUAUGUUAAUAUUAAUUAACAUAACUAAAUUGAACCUAUUGAAAAUAAGUUUACUAUUUUCAACUAAAUAAAAAAAAUCAAAUAUUUUAAUUUUUUUUUCUAUUCAAUUAAAAAAACACUAUUUUGAUCAUUUUUAUUCAAAUUACGGUAAUUUAUUUUACACUGUGAUCAUACUUUUCAUAAACUCACCAAAUUUUGAAUCAUAAGUGGAAGGAUAUGUUUAUUAUUACUCCAUUUUUUCAUAGAUUAUUAACAUGUUUGUCUUAUGUAUAAUGGUAAUACUUGAUGAAAUCCCAAGAUGAUCAUGGGACAUUUUCAGGCUUUUUGACUAGGUUCCAAUUAGAGAAAUAUGAUUUUUUCAACAUAGUUUUAUCAUGGUCAAGUGGUGACUUAAAAUAAGUUUGACAAUGAUUUUCAGAAGUGUUUUUAACAUUUUUAACACUUGAAAAAUAAAAAUUUUUAAAUGUUAUAAAGAUCAAAAACACUUUAUAGAAUCAGUGUCAAACACACUAUUAAAAAGAUACCCCUUAAUCGAUGGUAUUGAAUAGGUUUCUUCCUUCUUGUCAUGGCUUCGAGCCGUGUUGUGUCCUUUUAGGGUUACCUAAUUGACAAGUACCUAAUUAGCAAAUACCUAAUUUUGGUAUCACAAGUUUGCAAAAAUAAAAGUUGACCGAGAAUGUGCUCUUCAAAAAUACUUGUUUCUAUGCUUUUUAUCUUCCAACCUUUUUUUGGGUGAAGUUGGGUUGUCUGGCCUCUUGACAUUAUCAAUUGGGCUUAGAAUAUGCGGGCCUCAACUCAAGCUGGGUCCUAGCUUCUUUGGUUAUAGACCAGCUAUCUUGGCUCGAAACACCAAGCUUAAAGAAGAUUCUCAAUAUCUAAUCAAAAGAUUUUUGAUAAUUUGUAAAUCCAAGAUUCAAAGGAAAAGUGUCCUUUCUUCUUUAAAAAAUGUGGGAAAACCCUUCCCUUGUUCAAGAAUUUGCAGUCUAAGACACAGAAGACAGAAUUCUGGUCCUCUUUCUUUGAGUGAUCAGAACUUUUUAUUUAUUUAUUUCUAAAAGUAUCUUCUCAAAUGCCCAUAUUUAAAAAAUAAAUAAAAAUAAAAAUAAAAAUUAUUUUUUAUAUUAUUAAACUUUGGAGAAACAUGUCCUAAAGAGGUCUGUUUUAUUUUUUUGGACAAUUGUAUUUUAAAUCUAGAUGAACUCAAAAAUUAAAAUUUAACCUAUAAAAAUUACAUAAUUGAUAAGAAGGAUAUAAAAUGUGAAGAUACCAAUAUACCCUUCAAAACUAUUUUAAGUAUUAUUUUAUCACAAUGUUGGACAAAGUUUUUGAUCUAAAUUUUUUUUAAUAAUUAUUCUAAAAAUUUAUUAUUUUUAGAAAACUAAUUUUUUUAAAAUAUAUCAUUUAAAAAAAUAAUUUUGACAUAUUUUUAAUUAUUUUUUAAGUACAUAAUUUUAAAAAUAUAUAUUUUCCAAUAUGUUUGAUUUUUAAAUAAUAAUAAUAAUUAUUUAUUUUUAUUUUUUUGAAAAAUUGUGAAUUUUUUUCUAAAUCACUAAAUUAAAUUAAAUUUUAUUGAGGUUACAAAAGGAACAAAAUUUAAAUUACUGUUUUUCUACUUUUUUUUUUCAUAGUCAUAAAUGUCAUUUUUGGAAAGAUAAAAAAUUUAUAUCAUUCUUCUCAAUUUUCACACUUGUUCCAAGUCUUGAGUUUAAAUAGUGAAUAUAUAUAAACUAAAACUUAAUUUUUGGACCCAAUUAAAUCCAAAACACAAUUAUUCUUUUAUAUAUAUAUAUAUAUAUAUAUAUAUUUUAUUAUUUAUUUAUUUUUAUUUUUAUUACAAUCAAAUCAGAAUCUCUUGUCUUCCUCUCCUUAUUUGCAAGGUUAAGAUGGAACUUUUAGGACUCUCCCCUAAUGGAUUUUGGACUCCAUAGUAGUGCAUAUCCCAUGUACAAGGGUCCAUCUCUUUUUCUCCAUUUAACCCUUGUUUGAUAAUCCUACUACUUUGGCCAGUGAAAGGGUGAAGUUGGAGGAGAAACCAUCACUAAGAUUGGCCACCUUAUCCAAUUUGGCUCUUUUGAAGUCACGGUUUGAAAUUGAGAAAGGAGAGUAACAAUAUGAUGCACUUUGGCUACUGUUCUAAAAACAUUAUUUCAAGCUUGAUUUGAAGAAGGAAAAUGUUAAGGUGUAAAAGGGAUACCUGACUGAUGAAAUAUAUAUAGUGAGAUUUAAGCCGUUAAAUAAUGAGACAAAAAAUUAUAUACGUGAUACCAUUAGAUUAGUGAUGUUUCUUUGAUAGGUAUAAAAAAAGUACAAUUCGUUAUUGUAGUUAAAUCGCUUUAAGGUAAUAGAUUGUUACUAACUUGAUAAAUAAUAAUAAUUAUAAGUAGAAAAUUUAAAUGUUUUUAAAGAAAAUAUAAAUGUUUAUCUGGGGUAAAUAUGGAAAUAAUAUAAGUAAUAGAAUGAUAUAAUAUAUAAGUACGAAAUAUAAAUAAAGUUAAUUAAAUAAUAAAAUUUUAUCUAAUAUAUUUUUUAACUAUUUAUCGUUAUCAUAAUUUAAUUUUUUAAUAUUUACUAAAAAUCGAAAAAUAGAAUGUUUUUAAGUUAUUAAUUAUUAGUAUUUUUAAUUUUAAUAAUAUGUAAAUAAAAAAAAACACAUAUUUGAUAUGUUACACAUUUUUGAAAACUAUGCAAUAUACAUGGGAAAAGUUACAACUAGAUGUUGAUACAAUUUUACCAAAGUUCAUAUUUUAAUGCACAAAAUAGAUAUGUAAUAAGAUUAUAAGAGUGUGCACACAAAUUCCACAUAUAAUAGAAAAAAAAAAUCAAAUUUAUAUUAAUUUUAAAAAUAAAGAGAUGAAUACAAUCUUCUAAUCUCAUAUAAAUUAGAGAUCUAGUUUGUUGUUUUGUACCUUUUAAUUACAUUUCGAAAUCCAUUGUAGCACAAACUAUAGUCAAUGAUCUUCUUGAGUUCUUUAGUACUAUGUAAAUAGUGUUUUAGUGAUGAUCAUGAUGAUUAUCGGAAGAACAUCAAAACAGGAAGAUAUCGAGAUCAUGGUGUGGUGGCAGCUAAAAGUUGUGGCAAAAUGGAUUGGGUGCCACCAGGAGAUACUAGCAGUGGUGGUGGUGGAAACAACAUCCAGGGAGGAGGAAAUCAAAAUCAAGGUGGUGGGUCUGCUAAAAAUGGUGGCGGAUACGAUGGGAUGUACUAACCAGGGUAUGUUAAAAAUAUUAACAUUGGCGGUGGCGACAGCCGGGAAAACGAGGAUGAGGAUGCUGCUAGUGGUGGUGGUGGUGGUAGUAGAAACCAUAAUGGCCAUGUGGGCGAGAAAGGCGGGGAAGGAGGUGGGAAUAUGAACCAUAUGGGGCCGAUGGAUUCCAGCGAGGCAGAGUCAUCCGACACUCCGUCGACGAACUGUCAAAGGAUGAGAUGGGUUCAAGGAAUGCCUACCUCCAUCAGUACGCUCGGCCACGGUCGGCAAUCAACUAUGCCCCAGCGCCGGUGAUGCAGCCAUAUCCGGUGGUUAAUUCUGACGUCCAUUUCUUUGGUGGAGAGAAGACUAGGGGUUGCAUCAUCAUGUGAAUUUUGGGUUUAGUGCAAGGUGGAUGGGAAUAUCAAAUGCGGUGCUUUUAUAUAUCGAAGGUGGACAGGAAUAUGAAAUAUACAAGUGUGUUACUUUGCUAAGUGAGAAUAAGCUUAGAUACCCAAGGAGGGUUGUUGCUUUCCCUCCAAAUUUUAAGGUCAUUUUCUUCCAUCUAUAUAUAUGUUGUCACUUCAUUGGAAAUUUCAAUAAUCACUUUUUGGUUUUUUAUUAAAAUAAGGUUGAUUUGAUCAAUUUUUGAGUAAAAAAUGAAUCCCACCAAUGUAAUUAAUUUAUAUAUAUGAUAAAAACCGAAUAAAUCAUAUUUAGAGUUAAAAAACAAACCAAACUAGGUCUUUUAAGGUUAGUUUGGUUUGAUUUUCAUAGAUCAAUUUCCACUUAACUUUAAGGUCUUUUUUUAGUUCUCAAUCCAAUUGUAAAAUAUUUUUGUUUGUUUUGAACCCAAAACCCAUUAAUUUGAGUUUAUAUUAGGUCUUAAGCUUAUUUAUUUUUAAAAAUUAAUUGAAACCAACUUAGAUUUGAUAUUCUAAAUAUAGUGAAUAUAUUUAUAAUUAACUUGACCAUAAUAUAAAAAUAAUGAAUUACUUCAAUAGAAUCUAAUUUUUUUUUAAAUUAUCAAAUAUCAAUCAAUUAUAUAUAAUUAAGUUUUAAAAUGUUUGUUUGGUUUGGUUUUUAUUAGUUAGGAGACAAGAAAAUAAAAAACCAAUAAGGUCAGUUUUCAAAAUUCUUAAAAUCAAAUUGACCUUUUUUAUUAUUGUAAACCAAAUCAAUAUGACCGGUUUGAUGGUUUUUCUAGUUUUGCUUACACCCUUACAUCACUCUACAAAAAAAAAAAAAAAAAUACCAUCAUACUAAGUAUUCUUAUCUAAUCUUAUUUAGAUAAUUAUAAAGCAAGGAUAUGAUUAAGCUAUAAAAAAUUAUUAUCAACAAAAAAAAAGGUAUAAAAAAAUCACUAAAAUAUCAAAUUUUGGUGUAAUAAUUCUUCAACACAAUAGAAUUUUCCUAAAAAAUAUGUUUCAUGCCUCUUAUAUUCACACUCAUGAUUUGUGAAAUUGGGCGCAUGUUUAGCUUUGGACCCUAGUUGGGGGUAGCUUGUAAGUAACUUAGAGUAUGCAUGAUUGACUUUCCAAAAGCAUUUUUAACAUAAAAGUUGUUUUUAAAAGAAACAUUAAAUGUUUGACAAAUAUGAGAAAACAUUAUUAAAAAGUAAAAAAAUUAUUUGUAAUGUUUUCUAAAAAACCCAUUUAAUAAGUGAUUCUUUAAAAAAUACGUAUUUUUUUAGAGAAAACAUUCCCAUUAAAAAUAUAUCCUUCAUCUCCUCUCCAAACACCCAAUGUCUUUUUUUCCCCACUAUUUAAUUGAUCUUAUUGAUGUAGCGUAUAUAUAUAUUUUGAUAAUUAUGAAAGCAAUAUUGAAAGAAAGAAAAUUUGUAAAAUGAUAUUUUUUUUAGUACACUUAAGUAUAAAAUAUUUUUCAUGCACUUCAAAGGUGUUUUCUUCAUCAUCUCUUAAGUUUAAAAAUAAAUUUUUAUUAUGAAAUUUGAUGAAUAUGUGUUUUAACUCAAAACCUUAAGUCUAAUUAUUUCUAAAUUGACUUAAAAAGGUUUUUAAAGGUGUUAUACAAGUUAUUGGAAGCUUAGAACUAAAAGCAUGAGUUUUUUUUACAUUUGUAGGUGCAAUUGGCUAAGGAUGUCUUGAACUAGUUGAACCAAUUGGGGAAUCGACUCAACUAGUUGGGCUCGUUGAUUGAUGUCUGAUUAAGGUGCACACUUUUGUUUUAAUCCAUGCAUAUAAGGAUUUAAUUAGUUUACAUACCUUUUGUUCCUUUACAAGAACCACAAAUUAGGUGAAUUAGACUACUCAAGUUACAAACCUAACUAUUACGUUGGAAAGUAUUUCAAAUUCUUAAUAUGUAUAUAUAGAUUUGUUAUAAUAAAAAAAUAUUGUGUAAAAUAUUUCUUAUAUUCCUAUCUUAUUAUGAUAUUAAAUUUUCUUGUAGAAUAAGAAAAUUGAUUAUAAAUAUAUCUAUAAGUAUUUUAAUUCAUAAAGAAAAAGGGUAUGAGAUAAAAUGGAUUUUUAAGACUAUAUGAGAUAGAUAGAGAUGAGAGGAAGAACAUGUGACCCAAUAGAAUAAAGGAGCUCAUAAUUCAUAGUGUAGAUGCACGGAAUGAAAAAAACAUGAAAUGUUUCAAGUCAAUAAUUGUAUUUAGUAGCUUCUACCUUCUCCAUAGUACAGUUGAAUGAUUCUCUCAUUUUAUAGUUCAUGGUGUAGAUGCACGAUUGAAAAAACAUAAGAUAUUUCAAGUUAAUAGUUGUAUUUAACUACUUUCUCUAUAGUAUAGUUGAAUGAUUUUCUCAUUCAUGGAUUAGGUUCAAUUGGUUGAACCACGUUGAAGCUUAAUAUUUUUGGAAUCAAACCUUGUCUCAAUCCUAACCACAAGUCUCGUGGAUUGGACCGCUCAAGUUGCAAGCCUAGCAAUUACACCAAGCACCCAAUUAAAUUCAACCCUAAACCUAACCCAAACCCAAAUUAGGCAUGGACUAACAUCCCAAAUCUCUCUCUCUCUCUCUCUCUCUCUCUCUCUCACGCACACACACUCCGAAUUUAAGUAAUUUUUCUUGAACAGACAAUAUGCACUACGCUAAUUUUUUAUUCACCACCAGCCCACAUGUUUUCCUUGUGUUUCCUUAAUCCAGGCCUUGCUACAAAUUCUAUUCUGGCAGAAAAUUAACAGAAUUUCCUUCCUGGUUUCUUUUCAUCCACUGUUCCGAGAGCAUGCAGUUUCUUACCAGCUAUCGUGUUGUCCGUCUUUCAGGGCCUUUGUGCCCAGGUGUCUGCUCACAGUUAUUUAUCCCUCCAUGUGUCCUUGCUGCUCUACCUCUCAAUACCCUAAACCUCCCCCACCUUGUCUGCUCUAAAGCCUCACUAUCGACCACCCGAAACACACAUUUUUCUCUUAUAUUUCAUCAAAUACUAACCAAUUUAGCACCCAAGUUGAUCACUCAAUGCGUUAAUAGAUGUUUCUGGGUGUUGAUUUAAACUUGAUUAUCGUCGGUAAUCUCGAGCCCUCUUUGAUUUUGGUUAAAGUUCAGCUGGGUUUAGGAUCCGGGUGCUACAUUUUUUUUGGCUAGCAGAGUGGGGUGGGCAGUUUGUGAUACAAAGAGACACAGGCUGCAUGGGAGGUGAUACAUGUCUUAGUGCCAAGUGCACACCUACUCUCAUUGUUAUCAUGUCGAAAGUUGUCCAUAUCCUCCUCUUCUUUUUCUAAACAGAGUGUGUGGACAUAAAUUCAAAUGUCACUCGGAAUCCUUCCAAAAACAAGAAGCAUCAACCACCUUUCAUGAGCCAUGACAAACAUGUAAACUUGUCACCUUACUCGAUAUGUUUGCCAAGUAAUCCCACAAAUUCCAAUACAAUUCUUCUAUAAAGAACACCGUAUGCUCUCCCUCCCUUUCACCACUGCCCCAUUUUCUCUACUGCGCGCAAUGGCUCCCUCUCUUCACUGCCUCCCCGUUUUCUUUGCUCUUAUCAUCUUGGUAGCAGCUGAUCAGCAGCCCCCAACCACUCUCCUGACUAAUGACAGUGUCUCUUCCAGGCCUAAUGCUCUUGUCCUGCUCGUUAGCAAGAACGAGGCAACGAAUCUUCAUGUAGUAGACAUCCAAAAGAGGACUCCUCUGAAGCCAGUCCCCCUGGUUCUGGAUGUAAAUGGGCGGUCGUUGUGGGUUGAUUGCGAGAGCAACUACCUGUCAUCAACCUACAACGCCCCACAGUGCCACUCCACUCAGUGCUCUAGAGCCAACCUUCACGACUGCCGCACUUGCUCGGCCCAAACCAGGCCCGGCUGCCACAACAACACAUGCGGGCUCAACGCGGCGAACCCUAUCUCCGGGGAGACCGCCUUCGGUGAGCUCGCCCAAGAUGUCCUCUCAAUUCCAUCCACAGAUGGGUCUAGCCUCGGGCAAUUGGUCACUAUCCCUCAGUUCCUCUUCGCUUGUGCGCCUUCCUCUCUGGCACAAAAGGGGUUCCCACCUGCUGUACAAGGAGUUGUUGGCUUAGGCCACACUUCGAUUGCCCUACCGACUCAACUGGCUUCCCACUUUGGAUUCCAACAGAAGUUUGCUCUGUGCCUCACUUCCCCACUUAACCAUGGAGUACUUUUCUUGGGAGAAGCCCCCUACAGACUACAUCCCGGCAUCGACGUCUCACAUCCACUAGGCUCUACCCCACUAUCCAUCAGCAGAGAAGGCGAGUACUUCAUACAAGUGACAUCAAUAAGGAUCAAUGAGAGGGUCGUCCCAGUGAACCCGGCCUUGUUAAACAGAAGACCUGGUUCGACUCUGAUCAGCACCACAACGCCUUACACCGUCCUGGAACACUCAAUCUACCAAACUUUCACUCAGUUCUACGCGAACCAGAUGUCGUGGGCACCCCGGGUGCAACCAAUUGCACCCUUUGGGCUGUGCUUUGACGCGACUAAGAUGACUGCAACGCAAAUCGGGCCUGAAGUUGCUAACAUUGAUCUUGUAUUGCACAACCGUAACAACGUAUGGAGGAUUGUUGGCGCAAACUCAAUGGUACAGCCGCGACCUGGGGUCUGGUGCUUAGGCUUUGUGGAUGGAGGAUCCAACCCUAAAGCUCCAAUUAUUCUAGGGUCAUAUCAGUUGGAGGACAAUCUUCUGCAGUUUGAUCUGGCUAGGUCAAAGCUGGGCUUCAGCUCUUCGCUGCUAUUCCGUGGAACUCAUUGUGGUAACUUCUUCGUAGGCUCCGCCCAAACCUCAGCUGCAAAGGAGGAGAAGCAUGUGUAGGCAUAAGUGUGAUAGCUUCUUCCUCUUUUUUGGUGUAUUAGAUCAUGUACAUCUGAAGUUGUACUUGUCUUUCUGCACUAAGUUUUUCUAAGAUGAAUAAAUAAAUGGUGGGGUGAUGUUGUGUUUAUGAUGGCAGCCAAUUUUCAGUCAACUAACAUGUUCGAAUGGAUCAUAGAUUAUCAAGGCUAGACAUAAUUGAACUGAAUUGAAUGGUGAAAAAUCAAGUCUCUGCAAAUUCUUCCAUAAUCUAAACAACCCGGCCGGAUCCCCAAAAAUGCCCAUGAUCACCAUAGAAACACAUCAUAGAUCCUAACCAGUGUGCAUGUGAAUUCAAAAAUCUAAGCAAGAAAAAUGAUUUGUAUUCAAGUUUGAAUGAUGGCUGUAUGAUGAGCAUCAUGUCAAAUUCCAUAAAAGUCCGCCAUAUUUUUCAUUGGAUGCUAAUUGGUUUUCAGAUGGAUUAGACAUCGACACUGAUCCGUCCAUCAGCAAUGAUGAGAAAACUCAAAUGAGCAAAUCUGGAUUAACUUCCAAGUAUGAAAAAUGAAACCUUAAAAAACCAUGCAAAAAAGCAACGUUGGAUUCAAUGGAUCAUUCUUUAUACUCGUGGUAUUAUUAAUGCUCAUACCUGCAUCAAUCUAUACCUUCAACAACUCCAAAACCCUUUAUUUAUGCUUGUCCAAAAGUGAAUAAAUGCCAAAUAUUUAAGUUAAUACAUACAAAAUUAAUCACAUAUAUACCAAGAGAGAGAGAGAGAGAGAAAUUCCACAAGUGAAUCUUUUUUAAUCUCUAAUUUCUUUAUUAUUGGAUUGUAAAGUUUGAAUCAAUUUUAUUGUAUUUUGCUGGGGAUGUCGGGAUUUGAGCUUCCCGCUAAGCUCGUUAGAGAAUUUUUUUUAAUAUGAUGAAUAACGAGUUUGCCCUUAUUAAAUAUUUAACUCUUAUAUAUUUUAGGUUUUUCUUUUUAGAUAACAUAAUCAUAAUUGAGAAUAGUUUUUUAGAACUUCAUCAUUAUAUUGCCUCACGUUUCUUUUGAUUAGUAGAUUCUUGAGUAUUUGUGUACUCUAUGGACAUAACCACGUUAAAAGUCUUAUCUUUAUAUAUAUAGAAAGAGUAUCUUUACACUUUAAUAUUGUUAUCAAUGAGUAUAAUUUUGUUUGCAAGAUUGGAGCAAGGAGGUCCUAUUCACAAUCAAGUUAUUUGGUGGAAAUCAUCACCUAACAUUGAUUCCUUUCACAAUCAAGUUAUUAAUUGGAUGUGCGGGUGAGUGUAAACUUAGGUGGUUUAUUUUCAAUUAAUUAGUAAUGAUAAAAAGUAGGUGGCACUCACCCUUUAUGUAAGAUUUAUUUUCUAUUUUUGUAUAAAAUACUUUUUUUUGUACCAUUGAAAAAUAGAAGGAUUAUGAUAUGUCUUUAUCAUUGUAAUCUUUGCUCAAUUCAAUUCAUCUUCACCUCUGCCUGAGCUAUUUUUUAAGAACUGGUAUAGACAAAAAAAAAAAAAAAAAUUAUCUUUUUUUUUUUUUUGAGAACUGUUUUUUUUUUAAAAAAAAUACCAAAUUAGCUAUAAAUUAAUUAAAAUCAUAUAAUGAUAUAUACUAAGCAAAUUAUUAAUUAAUAAUUAAUAAUUUAUAAUAAUUAUAUAUGAAGAAUUCUAUCUACUAAAAAUGUAACCAUCAAGUUUUUGAAUUAAAUUUCCAUAUCAUCACAUGGAUUUACAUAUACUUAUUUCAGAGCUUGGAUUCAAAGUGGCACUUAUUCUGACCACUAAAUCACAUCUUAAACAUUUGACUAUUUUUGUCCUAUAUUUUAAGUGCGUGGUAGUGAUUUGAGAAAAUAUUUAUAACAUUCCUAAUAUUUAAAAAAUAAAAACUUUUAAAUGUUAGAAAUGUUAAAGACGUUUCCUAAAAUCAUUAUCGAACGAACUCUUAUCUUUUAAUUUUUCUUUUAAAUGUAUUUACUAGAAUUUACAUCUUCAAACUAUGACUUUAAUAUGAAUUUUAAAACCAUAUCUUAAAACUAUAUAAUUUAGCAUGUGUUUCAAGAUCAUGUUUUGAAAGUACAACUUCUACUUUUUUUACAAACUAUUUAAAUUUAAAUUUUUUAAAUUAGGAAAAUAUUAAGGUACGGUAUUUAUAACCAAUUUAUAAUCUCUAUGAUUAAAAUGUAUAUCUUUAAUAAAAUCUAAAUCAUUGGAUGAGAACAUAAAUAUGUAACAUUAUAAAUAAAUAAUAUCAUAACAAAUGAGAUUUCAUUAAAUACUUCUUUUAUUUUGAAUUGAAUGGAAUGUCGGUAGGAAUGAUAAAUAAGAAGAUCGGUGAGUCAGAUAUUUGAUCAAAUUUGUUUCCAAGUGAAGCAUGAAACCAUGAAAAUAAAUUGCAAAGUAGGUGUUGUGAUUGGUUUUUCCAUAAAGUUCAUCUUAUACCUAUGAAAUAUGAAUGCCCAUGACCUACAUUUUAUCAAUUAAAAUGGUCAAUUUGACCCAAAAUUCCUCCUUUCACAUGUACCUUCUUUCCAAAUUUGUCGUUAUACAUGGUAAAUGCCACACAACAUUACAUCAUAGUUUCAUGUGGGGUGGGUACCCUACAAUUAAAGCCAUGCCGCUCAUCUUUGGUCACCCAUCCCUCUCAUGGGGCCCAAUUACUUAUCUCUUUCCAAGACUGGUCACACUCAGACCCAUCAGACCAUCAAGCUUCAUCACUAAAUAGUCCUCUCCUACCCUCGUGGAUUAUUCAACCAUGGCUUCCUUGCCACAAGCCCACUUAUUUUCUCUCAUUUUGCUCUCUCUCACAUCAUUCUCCAUCUCCCAAACACCCUUAAUCCACCCUAAUGCUCUUGUUCUUCCCCUCACUAAACAUGCCUCAACUCUCCAAUAUGUCACCAUUAUCAGCCAAAGGACACCCCUAGUGCCCUUGAACGUUAUUGUGGAUCUUGGUGGCCAGUUUCUAUGGGUUGGUUGUGGCUCCAAUUAUGUCUCGUCUUCCUACCGCCCGGCUCAAUGCCACUCGAGCCAGUGCUUCUUAGCCCAUGGUCCCAAAAGUUGUGACCAUUGCCUGUCUAGGGGUAGACCCAAGUGUAACAAUGGGACAUGCAUUUUGUUCUCAGAAAAUGUGUUUACUAGCAAAGUCUCAGCUGGGGACCUCAGUGAGGAUGUGCUCAGUCUCCAAUCCACAGAUGGCCUAAACCCUAGAAGUGCGGUGGCUAUUCCCCAUUUUCUAUUCUCAUGUGCCCCAGAGGUUCUCUUACAAGGCCUUGCUGGUGGGGCUGAAGGAAUUGCAGGCCUCGGCCAUGGCAGAAUUGGGCUGCCUACACUGCUCUCCUCUGCACUCAACUUCACCAGAAAAUUCGCCGUCUGCCUUCCUCCAACCACAACCUCAAGUGGGGUUAUCUUUUUUGGCGAUGGGCCUUAUGCUUUGCUCCCGGGCAUUGAUGUAUCCAAGCUACUCAUCUACACUCCUCUUAUCAAAAACCCUAGAAGCGUGGCCACUAGGGUUUAUGUCACUGAACCUUUGCCUUCAUAUGAGUAUUUCAUCAGGGUUAAGUCGAUUCAAAUCAAUGGAAAACAAGUACCAUUGGAUUCAUCACUGUUAGCUAUCAACAAGAACGGCAUUGGUGGGACAAAGAUCAGCACUGUAAAUCCCUACACUCUGCUACAAACCUCCAUAUACAAUUCCUUCACCAAGCUUUUUCUGCAAGAGGCCAUGGCACAUAAUGUUACUAGGGUUUCUCCGGUAGCGCCAUUCGAUGUUUGUUUUAGCACAAAAAACACCAAUGGAGCUUUUUCUACUCCUGCCAUUCCUGUUAUUGAUCUUGUGUUGCAGAAUAAGAAGGUGUUUUGGAGGAUUUUUGAGACCAAUUCCAUGGUGCUGGUGGGUGAUGAUGUUGCUUGCCUAGGGUUUUUGGAUGGUGGGUUGAACCAAAGGACUUCAAUUGUGAUUGGAGGGCACCAAUUGGAGGAUAAUCUUCUGCAGUUUGAUCUUGAAUCAUCAAGGUUGGGGUUUACUUCUUCACUGCUGUUAAGGGAGACCAGUUGUGCCAAUUUUAAUUUUACAUCUAGCCUUUGAUAUUUGAUUAAGUACUUAUUUAAUUUUAAGUAAGAAACAAGUUCAAUUUCCAUGGUGGCAACCUUCAAAAUGCGAAUCUCCAAAAACAAAUAAUAAAAGAGCUUGUAAUUUUUAAGAAAUGUGAUAUGUAUAUUAAGUCCAAAUCAUAUAAGCUUAAAGUUUUAGGUUAAAACCAUCUUUUCGUAAUUUGCAUGUUUAUUUCACGGGGUAUCGGUUUUACAAUUCGUUUAGAUUUUCCGACCCAUGGUUAUAGGAUUCAACAGUAAUCACAACUUCUAACCAGGCUUAAAGGGUAGAGAGAACAGACCCACAUCGAAAAAGGAUAGAGAGAAAUUCCAAAAUGAAACUUCAUAAACGGUGACCCUUCAUGAUUUGAAAAAAAAAAAAACAAACUGAUCAAUUUUUCUGCUUUAAGAUUAAGAUCCAACAUGGUUUCCAAGACCAAGCUAGCCGAAGGUGGAAAAGUGUCCUGCAAAUUUUAGGGGUUCCCCACUUUGCAGUGCCUGCUAUACUCAAUAGAGCUUUCAUGUACAAAUAGCAGAAGAUAGCAAUGAAUGGCCUGCAACAAUUGAAUACUUGAUGGACCACUCUCACAUUUGCUUCUCUGCAGUCUACACUCACGGAGGUAGAUUACGGGUUUGAAGCCCAAUCUUGGAUCAAAUUAGACCGUUUGAUCAUAAAAAUUGACUGUUUUGACCCUUUUUUUAAAAACUUGCAUUAAAUAUGAACUGUUUUUUUCCAUUGUCUCGUAUUAUCCUGAUGUGAAAAUGAAGUUUCAAUGGACAAUUACGACUUUAUUUUUGAACUGAUGUAUCGAUUCAUGGGGCCCAAUGACUCUUUAUUUAUGGUAACAAAUCUCAAUCUAUCAUGGGUGUGGACAUACACAAGAUUGUACUUUUUUCUCCUAAUAAAAAAGUUUAAUGGAAUAAUUUCUGAAUCCUAACAAAUUAUUCGGAAUAGAUGGUGUCACAUGGUCAUCUCAGAUUUUAUUAUUUUAUAUCAAAUUUGAUCUUAAUGUUUUGUAUUUUAUUCUUAUUAUUUGGUGCUUUGAUAUAAUUUGUGUAUAUUUAAUCUCAUUUAUUUAUAUAUCUUACAAUUUUCUUUAAUUUUAAAAUUUUAUUUAAAAAUUGACGUCUCGAACAUUAAAUUUAACUUAAUAUAUAUUUGUAUUGUCAUCUAAUAACUUAAAACCUUACAAUUCUUUAAUAAUUUAUAUUUUUAAAUAAAAAAUAUUAUAUUUUUGUUAAUUUUUAAAUAUUUUCUUUUAGAAACUUAAAAACAUUAUCUCAAUAAAUUUUUUGUUUUGGAAAAAAAAUAUAAAAGUUGAUAACUUGGUAUGAAUACACUAAUCCCAUCAUAUUUUUAGUCUUUUUCUUUGAAAAAUAAAUGACAGAACUAAUUGACAUUGUUAGAUUAAAAAAAAACAAAAGAAAGAAAGAAAGAGUGAAUUGAAUAACAUUAGCUUUUCAGAUUAGAAUAUGAGAACAAAAAUUUUAAAAAUGAAAAGGUUAAUCUGAUGACAUUUUAAAACUUUUUCUUAAAAAAAGAAAAGAAAAAGCUAAGAACCAAACUUUAAAACAAAAAGAAAAAAAAAAUUACUCAAUUUUUGGGCUUAAUUUCAUUCCAUUUCCUUAUAAUUUUGAGUAAAUACAUCUAGUUUUCAUUAAUUUGAAAAUUCAUCAAAUACCACUUAUAUCAUUUUUAUUUGUUAUUUCCACUCACUUCUCAUUUCAUUAAAAAUAAUAAAAUUUAAUGAAAUUUCAAACAAAUAAGAGUCAGGUGUUUUCAAUUAAAAUCCGAGGAGAAGUAAAUGAAAUAAACCAUUAUUAUUUUCAUCAUUCAAGAGAAAAAAUAAAAAAAAAAUAUAGCACCAAUCACAUUAGUCUUUUCUCUCAUAUAUACAUAAUGGGAUAAAUUAAUAGUUUUCUUUUAGGAUGAAUGAGAAGAAGAUUUGAGAAAAUAAGUGUGGCACUUUUCAACCACAUUGGUAAAGGUAGAAGCAUACGACAAUUGGAUGGCUAGAAUUGCCUUCAAGUGAGGAUUGCCUCAUAAUUCUAAUUUUUGUAUAGGUUGCUACGCAAGAAAAAAAAUAAAACUUGCAAGUAUGAAAAAGUCUUUCUCUAAGGCUUAUAAGUACUCUAAAUUGGAAGAAGACAUGGUGAACUCCUAACUUAAGGUUAUACUAGCCACCGACUACAAAGAAAAAAGACAAUUGAUGAGAUUGGGUGCAUCUCAAUGAGGCAAACGAGCACGUAUUAUGAGAAUCGAUGGGGUGUGCAUAGAGUCAAAGCAACAAAUGGAAAUAUAAGCUUGACAUUAGCUAAUUGGAUGUACCUUAUAUACAAGCAUUUAACAAUUAUGUAAACUUCAAAUUGUUAAUGGCCCCUUUAGGCUAAAGGAGAUCUUUUGAACCAUGACAAGAAUCAAUAUUGUGAGUAUCAUAGACUGCAUAGACAUAGAAUGCAUAAGCUUGAAGCACGUAAUAAAAAUGCAUGUGAAAAUGUGUGAGUUAUGCUAGUUCCUUGCCAUCCUUAGCGAUGGAGUUCGAUAAGCACAACAACUUGAUAACCUCUCUAAUGACAAUGUGUAUGAAAGAUUAGGGCAUGUUGUUUCAAUCAUACAUAGUGGAAAUCUACCAACUUGGAGUAGGUUGACCAAUUUAGAGUCAACAUUUGACUAGUUAACAUACGCUUAGGUGGUAGCAAAGGUUUGGCUUUUACACAAGCAAGUGGUUGAGAAAUGUCAAAACCAUAUAACGAGCAUUGGUGGUAACCUUGUUAUCGUAAAUUGUGAAGUGCAACAUAUUUUGGUUGAUCUAGACAACUUAGUUGAUAUCUGAUUCAUAAACACUUUUAUAAGAAUAGGGUUACCUUCCAACCAGUUGACUUCAAUAACAAGUUCCCUUGCAAGUUUAAUGGGUGCUUUGUUAGUCCAAUAAGUGAAGUGAUAUUUCUAGCAUUACACUUACAAUUAUUAUGGUAAAGUUCCUUGUAGUGUAUGUUACUUUUAUUUAUAAUAUGAUCUUGGGAUGAAGUUUAAUUCAUCCAAUAAAGGCAAAAUUGGACAAAGUUGAAUUAAAUUUUGAAGUUGAUUUAACAUCAUCCCAUUAAAGAAAAUCAAUUACAUUUCAAUACCCUAUGUCAUUAACAAUGAGACGAAACUCAGGUGUGUGACCUACUAUUUACUAUAUGCAGAUUCUUUAUGAACUGAUGUAUGUAAUCCAAUAAGGUAGUAGUAUCACCUAUAUAUCAAGAUUACUUCACCAAUCAUUGAGUUAUAAUUCCCACUUUUUAUGUGAUAAAUUAGUAUACUCUAUCUCUAAGGAAUAUAUGUCAAAUUUCUACUAAAAGAAAUGUUAUGGUCAUGGUUUUCUAGAUUGCAUAUCCUCUAGAUCAUCCAAGAAGACACAUUGUCUCAAACAUAUGAGAUAUCAUAGUAUUUUUAUUAAGAAUACAUGUUAUCACCAGUUUCUAUCAAUAAUGACCCAAUCCAUAGGGAUGUAUGACCACUUUAGGGUUUCACCUAUAAGUCAAAACCUCAUGUUGACUUUGACACAAACUCAAUAUCCUUUUAAGAUUGAGAGUCCAUACAACAUAAUAACUCGGUGAAUCAUGACAAUUGAUAGUCUUACGUCAUGAUUCACCGUAAAUCAUUUUCAAUGUGUAAUCAUAUAUAUUAGUGCACUCAUCAUGAGAAAUUAAUCCUAAUAUUCAAGAUAAAUCAUCCAUUUAAUUAAGAGGUAUUAUAGUCUUUAUUGGAUUGCUCAAAUCUAUAAACUGAUUAUGAACCAAUUAUCAACUUACAAGGAACUAUCCCUAUGACAAUCAAAGACUCUAGUAGACAAAGUCUUCAUAAAGGGAUCAACAAGUUCUUCGUAGAAGCAAGAUCUUCUCCACAACCACAUCUUCUUUCAUUACUAUCUCACGUAUCAAGUAAUACUUCCUCUCAAUAUGUUUACCCUUCUAGUGGUUCCUUAGUUUUUUAAAUUGUAUCACCGCCUCACUGUUAUUACAAAACAAUGUCAGGGACGAUACAACCAAGGGUACUAUCCUAAGCUCCAUUAAAAACUUCCGAAGCCAACGACUUCCUCUAUUACCUUAUAAGCAAUAGCAUACUCAAUUUCCAUAGUGGAAUGAACGUAAUACGAGAUUGUUUUACACUUCUCCAACUAACAAUCCCACCACCUACAAUUGACACAAACUCAAAAGUAAGCUUGCAAGAGUCUUUAUCAUAUUCAAAUUAAGUUUGAAUUUAUAUACCUAAUGAUAGAGACCUUGGAUUUCUCCAUUCUCAAACCUUAGAUUGUAUAGGUACAUGCAAAUCUACCCUAAGCUUCUUUAAAAACUAAUCCAAACGAAAGCAUGACUUUUAAAACCAUUUAGAUUAACAAAACUAAGGAAAAAAACAUUCAUACAUGGGUUUGGAUGUUCCUAGAUCAAUUUAUUGCAUUGAAAUAGAUGUCUAAAUACUUUGGAAGUCUCAUACAACCAAAGUCUUCCACCCAAUGACUCAAACUACAACCUUGGCACUCUAAAUAGUGAACUUUGGAAGGGAAUAUGCCUUGGCUCUCUCUCUCUCUCUCUCUCUCUAUGGAUGUGGAAGAUGACAAUCAAAAGCCUUGGAAACCUUAACCCUUAUAGGUAUUUAUAGGAUUCCUUUACUAGGCUUAAGUGACUUAAGCCCACCAAGGCUUUGAUCACUUUUAAUCUAACCUAAAAUAGGUUCUAAUUGAUUAAUUAACCACACAUGGUCAUCUAAUUAAUUAAUUAAUUAACCCAAUCCAAAGACCUUAUUCACUAUUUCCUAUGCAGUCUUACGUAAUUACCAAAAUGCCUUUACACACAAGCGUAAACCUAGGGCUAAUCCAACUCUCACAAAAUAUGUCAUCAUGGUAUAUGAGAUCAAAAUGGAAACCACUAAGACCCACAAGAGUAUUGAUUCCAAUACUCUAUGUAAAUAACAAUGAGACAAAACUUGAGUAUAUGACCUACUAUCCAUUGCAUGCAGAUUGUCCAUGAACUAGUGUUCAUAAUCUAACAAGGUAAUGUUAUCAUCUAUCACUUUUCCAAUUAAGUUACAAAUCUCGCUUAUUAUAUGAUCAAUUGACAUACUCUAGCUCCACGAAGUCUAUGUUAAAUUUUCACUAAAAAAAAUGUUAUGGUCAUUGUCUUUUAGAUCACAUAUAAUUUGGAUCACCCAAUGAGACACACUAUCUCAAUUUCAUGAGAUAUCAUGGUACCUCUAUUGAGAAUAUCUGUUGUCACCAGCUUCCAUCAACAGUGACCUAAUCCAUAGGAAUAUGUGACCACCCUAAGGUUUCACUUAUAAGUCAAAACCUCCUAUUAACUUUGGUACAUGCUCAUAUAAGAUAUUAUCUAUUACAAAAAGAUUAAUAAUUGAAGUAAAUUCAUUUCAAGCAUAGUUGGCAUCCUAAUUUCCUUCCAUGUUAGUACUAGCACAUUCAGUGGUUACCUUUUCCCAAACUUCACCCUCAACCUUUGGAAAAGGGGAUAUGAUUUACUUUACUUGACAUUCUUCAUAGUUGAUGUUAUACCUUAGGUCCUUAGAUUUAACAAAUUGUUGUUAGAGAUGAUAAUGAAUAAGUCUCACAACUUAAGAAUUUCUUCUUCUUUUUUAUGUUCAAACUUGGUGGAAGAGUUUGCUAAGUCAUUUUGUGAUUUCUCGUUUUCUCUUAGCAUUUCCAAAGAUUGCUUGAGUAAAUCCAUGUAUUUCUUCUUCAAGAAUUCGAUUUUUCCUUUCAAUUUUCCUUAUUUACUUUGCAAACUUCUUUAAACUUACUCAAUAGGGCUUUCUUCUCACCUACCAACUUAUCCUUGGUUUGACACUUAGUUUUCAUGUUCUAUUAUUUUUUGACACUUGAUAACAAAUAUCACUAGGAUCUAUAAAAACUGUGAAACCAAGGUUUAGUUAAUUUUGAUUUUGAUGAUAACAAAACAAGGUUUAAAACUAAUGAUUAUAUUUCAAGUGUGAUUAGGCAAGACGAUCUCCAAAGUGGCAAUCACAAAGACAAAUCAAGCCAAGGAGAAAUCAUGAAGAAGAAGACCACCUCAAAGAGAAGUGUUUUUCAAGAUCCAAGCUUCAUAAGAUCUCUUUGUAAGGUUGUUGGUGCACUAGGAUUUUCAUGCAUUACAUUCUUUACUUAUGCACCAAAAUCAUCCAAAAGUUAUUUUGUUUUAAAUAUUUUAAAAUUUGGAUAAUUUCAUGUUUUCAACUAAAACCUUGUGUUAAAUGUUUUUCAAACUUGUUUUAAAAUGUUUUAAGUUGAAAAAGUUGGUUGUUGAGCUAAAAAAUGGCUCAACCGGUUGAACCGGGUGAGGAACCGGUCGAUCACAAGCUCAACCGGUCGAGGUCUGGGUCAACCCACAGCUCAACUGGUCGAGGCCCGCGUAAACCCCCAACUCAACCGAUCGAGGGUGCAAAAAACUUUCUCUUUCUUCCAGAACGGUUGUUCAAAAUGUCAAGGUUGAACCUCAACCGGUUGAGGUUCGGUCGAGGUCCAAUUGAGGCUCAACGGUCACCUGCCAAACAUUAAAUGCUAACGGAGCGUCAACCGGUCGACCCCUAACUCGACCGGUUGAACCCCCAAACGGUUAGUUUGGCUUUUCUCUUCUAUAAAAAGGCUCCAAUCUUCAUUGUUUAAUGAGCUUAACCUUCCCAAACCUUUCUUGAAUAUAUUUGAGCCUUGAAAAAGUGUUUUUGAAUGCACCAUUGUUCUAAAACUUGCAUAUUCUUAGUGCACAUUUCAAUCCUAGUUUUCUUGUAUCAAUUGAGCUUAAAGUUUUUGUACUAGGAUUUUUGUGAGAUCACUCAUUUGUAAAUCCUUGAGAGGAAAUUGUUCAAGAGUGAGAUAUCUCUUGAGAAGUGUAAAGGGUGCUUGGAGCCAAAAGUCCAAGAGGGUGAAUUGGAACCAUAAUCCAAUUGUAUUGCUUGAAGGCUUGGUUUGGAAGCCUUGAAUUAGUGGAACCUCAAGCUCGGGAUUGAAGCUAGAGAAGAGUGGAUGUAGGUCGGGUUGCGCCGAACCACUAUAAACUCUUAUAUUUGCAUUCUCUCUUCCCUACUCUUUAAUUUAUAUGCAAUUGUCUUUAUAUUGCUUAUUAUGUACUUACAUAUAAUUGUCUCUUACAUUCACAUAGUUUAAAUUUGCAAAAAGAGACCAUCACCCUAUUCACCUCCCCCCCUCCUCUAGAGUGAUUAUCAUAGGUUGGAUUAACCUAAUAUUCCUAACAAGAACCAUUCCUUCAAGACAUGAUAUGUUAUAUAGAGAAAAUUUUAUGCAAAAAUUUAAGUCAAUAGAAAAUAUCAUGUUGGUGUCUCCCCAAAGCCUAUGCUCAUAAUUAACGGUUCAUCAUUUUUUCAAUUCCUCUUUGCCAUCAUUUUUUAGGGAUAUAUGCCUCAAAACUUCCUUUUGCAAGGAUAAACCCAAGAUGGUUUUAGAUAAAUCCUCCAACCUAGAGUCACCAUGAGUGAUCUCCUCCCUAGUGGCCCUUAAGUAAGGUAAAUUAUCCUUUAUUUGAGCUCUUUAUGGGAGAAAAUAGGUUUGAUGGUCACUGGUCAACAAUCUUUAUGAGGUUGGAGGAAAAUGACAUACGAACGACUUCAUCUAAAGUUCUAAUUGGAUCAAUCCCUGCAAGUUUUUUCUUGUUAGGUACCUUAUUGCUCAAACACCCACUUGAACUCCCAACUACCUGCAUUUAGCAAGAUCAAAGGGCAUGGUUGGACAUUUUUCAAUCAUCAAUGACUAAAAAAAAAAAAAAAAUUCAUCUCCAAUAGGUUAGUGUCUUUCAUUGGUGUAAUGUAAUCUAGUUGCCUCAUAACUCCAAAUUUUGAUAAGCAUUAUUUUCUAUGAUGAAAAGGUUGUUUCAAAACUUGCAAAGUUAGCAAAAUGAAACUAUUUGGGAGCUUUGUCAAUCCACUUCCUUUCAAGGAACAAGCUUUCUCCUUUUUAGCUUUCUCAAAAGCCUUACAAGUACUUUGAUAUUGUCAUUAUUCACUUUCAUCUAUUAAGUUCGUUGGUGUCAUAAAAUUAAAGGAACAAAAGAAAGAACACUACCAAGAGAAAAAUUGACGGAAGAUAUUUUUAUCUAAGAAAGAUUAUACUUUGUAUUUCUAGAAGACAAAAGGUUAUUCUUCCUAAUAUUAAAUUCCUUUAUCUUUUUCAAUCAAAUACUCUUAAUAUUAAAUCAUAUAGGGGGUGUUUGGUACACGGGAAUAGGGAGUGGGAAUAGACAUCUCAUUCAUUUUCUCCCUUAUUCCUAUGUUUGGAUAAAUGUUAAGAAGGCGGAAAUGAAAUAAAAAAUUAUUCCGGCAGAAAUCAAAUCCAACUUAUGAGUCGGAUUUGCAUUCAUUAAAAGUAGGUGGUAUUCUGAUUCAUUAAACCUAUUUGAUAAUAUAAAAUAACCUAAAUUACUAUUUUACCCUCUUAUCUUGUUCUUUAAACUCGAUGUUUAUCUUCUUUGUAAAGGUAGAGAUCCAUUCAUCAUCCACUUCUUAUCUUCUUUGCAAAGCUAGAGACCCACUCAUCAUCCAAUUCUAUGCAACAAGUGAUUCUUCCAAAUUGAAUCAAUUAAACCUUCCACGAUAUUUUUAAAAAAAAAAAAAUCAAUUUCUAAUUUAUAGGGUUUUGGAUGUUCAUUUUGAUUGUUGGAUCUAGGAUUCGUUAUUGUUUGCUGCAACUAGGUUCUGAAAACUCCCUUCUACAUCUUCGAUCAGGUUUACCUUAUUUUCUCUUUCUUCUUCUACUUCUUUAUAUGUGUUUCUUCUUCUCUAUAAAUCGAUUAAUUUUUUUUUAUUAAUUUAUGUUUGGAAUCUUUGAUGUUUCUUUAUCUUGUAUUAAUGGAAACUAGAGAGAAAAAUUGAAAUGGUUGGAAAAAGAUUUUUUGAUUUCACGUGUUUACAAUAUUGAAAAUUUUUAAUGGUUAGGAAAAAAAUAAAAAGAAAAAAACAAACAAAAACAAAACUUUUGUUCAAUUUAGAUGAAGAUCUCAAGGUUGAAUGGACAAAACAACUUCUUCAAACCCCAUAAAUCUCCAUGUUGCAUCCUUGUUGAUUUAUUGUCUUUAGGUUGGAUUGAUAGAAAUUUUAGGUUGGAUUUUGUUUCAUCAAUUUCCUAUGAACUUUUUUAUUGAUUUGAUGACUUAAUUUUGGAGGAUAUACUAGUUGUAGAUUUUAGUAGAUAUGAUACUUAUAUUGAGAACUAGAAUGAAGUUUGUGUUUUUUUAUUUCCUUUUUUGUAAAUAAGAAAUAAGUAUUUGGUAGCUUUGACAAUUUAUAUGUUCUUAUAUUUUUUUUCUUUUUUUUUUCUUAGUAAAAUAUAAUUCUAUAGCUUUUUUUGCAUGACAAAUUAUUUAAAAUUUUGAUAAAAAAAACGAAUAUUUAAAAUUUUUUAAGGUUAUGGAUUUUAUCGGAUAUGAUACUUGUUGAAAAUUAGAAUAAAUUUGAAUUCUUUUAUUUCCUCUUUUGAAAAUAGGAAAAACAUUUGCUAGCUUUGAGAAUUUAAAUAUUAUAAUAAAUAAUUUUUUUUUGAAAAAUAUAAUUUUAUAACUACUUAAGCAUGACAAAUUAUUCAAAUUUUUAAUAAAAAUAAUAAUUGAAUAUUUGUGCAUUAGGGUUAUUCGAUUUUUUAUGGUUAACUUUUUAUUUAUUGAGUAUAUAUAUAUUUUUUGGUCUUAUUAUUUAAUAACAAAAAACCUUUCAAAUUUUAUUUUUUUAAAAUAAAAAAAUAUUUUAAAUUAUAUGUAAGGAUAUUAUUAUAAAUUUAUUUUUUUUUCAUUUCCAUUCCUAUUAUUAUCAAACAUUGGAAUGGAAACAAAUAAUCAUUCCAAUCUUGUAUUCCUAAGUUCAUCCAAAUGCUAGAAAUGGAAUCAUCAAAUUCAUUCCAUUCCACUAAGAAAUAGGAAAGGAAACAAAAUAUUAUUUCCAUUCCCUAUUCCGACAUACCAAACACCCCCAUAAGGUAUUGAAUCCAAAAAAUCAUAAUGCAAUAAAUAGAGUAAUAUGAUAAAAUAUAUAACUAAAAUACCCUUGAUUUUACAUAAAAUUACAAUAUAUUUGCCAUUGAAAUUGUGUCAUUUAUGCCAUAUUUGAUCCCAAAAAUAUAUUUUAAAAAUAAUUUUUUUUAUAUUUGUUUUUAUUAAAAAAAUAAAAAUAUUUUAAAAUCAUUUAAUCUUUAUAUAAAAAAAUUAUUGACUUUAUUUAUUUUUUCUUUCUUUUUACUUUUCUUCCCUAUUUUCCAAACAUACUCUCGCGGAAGGGAGGCCUUUCUCCACUCCGAAGGCACGAUUCCAAAGGCGAAGGCAUAGUCCGGAAGUCAAUUCUCAGUCCAACGCUGCAAAACCCCAAGAAGCAGCAGCAAUAGAAGAAGAAGAAGAUGCAUUCGUUUGGGUACAGGGCCAACUCUCUUCUCACCUUCGCCGUCACCAUUCUCGCCGUGAUGUGCGCCAUGGCCUCCUUCUCCGACAACCUCAACACCCCCUCGCCCUCCUCCCAAGUCGAGGUCUCUUUUCUCUAUCAAUUUUUCCCUUUUUUUUGGGGUUUUUUGUUUUGUUUUUCAAACCCUAGAUUUGGGUUUGAUUUUGACGGGGAUGUCCUUUUUCGGUGGUUGCAGGUGUUGAGUAUCAAUUGGUUUCAGAGGCAGCCCAAUGGGAACGAUGAGGUGAUUGGUUUUUCGGAUAUUUUUUUAUAAAUAUUUAUUUCGUGAUUGGGUUUCGGAUUUGUUUGAAUUGAAGGGCAUUUGAUUUUGGGUUACAUAAUAUGGUGAGAGUUGCUUUUUGGUUGUGUGGGAAAUUGAGGGCUUGACUUGGGAUUGGAGACUCCAAUUCCAAUUUCAAUUCCACUGUUUGGUUGAAUGGAUUUUCGAUUAGAUUGGAAUUUUAUAGACCUAGAAAAAAGGAAAACAAAUUCGAGGUAAAAGCCAAGAUCCGAAGUUCCAUUGAGUUAGAAUUCUGAAGCAAAUCCAUCUCUCAUGCAGCCAAACCAUCGCUAAUUGAGUUUUCUUGCAUAUUUUCUAUGUAUUUUGAUUUUUUUAUUUGUUUGAUAUAAUUGUUGGGGGUGGUUCGGGGUUCAUAAGGUAGUAAAUUUGAGAUAUAGUGCGCAGUAUUUUUAUAUAUUUUUUUUCAAUUUGCAGUGCCAAAAGUUAAUUUAAUGCAUUGAAUUAGAUAUGGCUCAUUGAAAAUUGAGUACAAAGUCACCAUGUUGUGGUAUUUUCAUUCAAAAUAUCCACUAUCUAUUGUCAUGUAUUUAGUAGGCACUGCAGCAACAAAGAACAAUGAGAAAAUCAUCAGUAUCCCAUUCUGCAUGAUUAUAGAAUCUGUAAGCCUAGAUGUCUUUGUGUAAAAAACUAUUUUGGAUCAUGAUUAGAUUAAUAUUUGCAUGUGAAUUUCAUUAUGAGGCAAUUGUAUUGAGCACUAUUGAUUCGUAUCCAAAACCCAGGGAAGAUAUUUGGAGACACUACCUGCCUUCUUGUUGGUUGGCAUGUUGAUUUGAAAAGCAAACCUACUUUGUUUUUGUUCCUUUUCCUUUCUUUCUCCCUUUUUUUUUUUUUGUUUUCCUGUGGUGUUUAUGUGAGAACCAUAUCACAUUAUUUGUAUUCAUUGUGUUGUGUUAUUGGGAACCAUGAAAGUUUUUACUUGGCUACUACCUACUCUGUCAAUCUGAAUUAAAAUGUUUUCAAUUUUAUACAGGUCAGCAUGACAUUGAAUAUAUCAGCAAAUCUGCAGUCAAUGUUUACAUGGAACACAAAACAGGUUUACCUAUUGACAAAUUCUUAUGUUUUUAUUUAUUUAUGCUUCUCAUACUUUUUCCUAUACUAAAUAUACGUAUAUUUCCAGGAUGCUUUAAAUAGUUUUUUCCCUGUGGGAUUGGGAUCUAGUUCUUGUAGAAAGAUUGAGAUUGACCACUUGAGGCAUUCCUCAAGUAUAUCUGUGAUGUUUUCAUAAUUGGUUCAUAUGCAAUCAUAAUAACUGCUGGAUUUGGCCCUUUUUGGGAUGAUAGGAAUAAAAUGUGUCAAAAUUUAUUUUUUUUUAACCGACUGUGCAAGAGAUUUUGAUGAAUUGAUGGUACCGGCACUUCCACAGAUUUGUUAUUCUCAACAAUAAAUAAAUGUGUGAUGUGAAGAGGGCAGCUCUAGAAAAUUCAGGAGUGAAACUUUUCUAUAACUUCAUGAAGCAGAGAACCAAAAGGAGAGCAAUUUUGAUAGAACUUACUGCAUUUUGGGAGAUGAGAAACUACUCCAUCAAAUAUCCUUUCAUUUCCUGACUUCCAAAUAAUGGCACAAACCCACUGAAAGGGGUUUGAUUCUCUAAACAAUCAUCUGUAUAAGUUCACUCACUCCAAAUCACCAACAAUAAUAACCAUUUUACAGAUCCUGGAAAUACCAAGGGCCCAACAUAUCUGAAAUAGUGAGAAGAGUACACAAACUGCAGGGUUUUCUGUUAACUUUGCAUCUUCCUUGUUCAUAUUGCAUCGGUUUGUCAUCAAGCAACUGCAACCCUCAAAUAGUCAUUGUUCCUCAACAGUGUCCCAUCUCCUCCCACCACACAACCAUUAAAAGAAAAAGGCACAAUAUAUUUUUUCUAGAGAAGCUAUAUGGUCAUUAUGGGUCCUUCAAAUCUUGUUAACCAAGUUAUCUUCUUUCUUUUCCUCUCCAGAGUUUUGCACUCAUUUGAGAACCAACAACUCAUAUUAACUUCUAGUUUAGCUGUCUUCCAGUAUCCUAGAAAGAGGUAUUGGACUGGCAAGUUGAUGCUGGGUUUUGAAUGGGCCGUUUAUCUUAUUUUACAUUUGUUGAGUUUGACUCAUAGUUGGUAUAAAUUCAUUUGAUUUUUCUCAUUAUGUUGCCUCAUCUUCUCUCAACCUUGAAAUUUUUUAUUAUUUUCAGUUUGUUCACUUACAUUUUUCACUGAUGCCAUGCCAUUUUCAUUUAAUCACUAAGAUAGAGAUAUAUUCUUUUGUAUUUGUUGUUUGUUUCUUUAUUGUUCAUUUGGGGCAGUGUUGGUGUUUGUGUUUGGUUGUCCAUUGAAAAUUUUAAAAUUCUAUGUGAAACACAAUUACUGAUUUCAAUUCCAUGGGAUGUCAAUGUGCCAUGGGCUUGAUCCAGCCUCUUGCUCUCUUACAGUUUUGCAAAUUUCAGUAGUAUUCUGAGUUUAUUUUUUAUCUUAUUUCUAUUUGUAGGUUUUUGUAUUUCUAGCAGCUGAGUAUGCAACACCAAAGAAUUCCUUGAAUCAGGUUAGCUUCAGAGCAUCUGGAAGCACAGAUCCUUUGUAUUUUUUUUCAUAUCAAUUUCAUUCUUUUUUUUUUCCCUCACAUUUUAUAAAUCUGAUUGAAACACAUGGUUCCUGCAAGACAUAUGAUCUACUUUAUGAUUGUUCGCAUCAUAUGGCCAUACUUCUAUACUUGUUGACAUCAUCCUCUGAUUCCAUUAUUAUGUCAUUUUUCCACAAUGGCUUAAAUGGAGAUGCCUAUUGAAGAAAAUAGUUGAAAUGGAGAUCAAUUACAUAAUAAAUUUUUAUUGUGGUGUUGAGCUAGAGGUUCCUUCAACAUCUGCAAAUUUCAACUAUUGGCCAUUAUGUUUCUAUUUGCCACUGUGAAAGCAACACAUCAGCUGUUCUCAUGGCGCUUUUUAUAGGCAAAUGAGAAUAAUAUUAACAAAGCCUAAACAAAAAGUGGGCUCCAAAGUAGUGUGCAAAGGGCACCUAACUGGGUUCUCAUAGCUUACAUUAUACUGUAGUGGACCACAAAUUGAGAGUAUAAGUUAAGGUUGUUUUUUCUGAUUCAUUUUUAUAUUAUAGUAUUGUCUUGGCCUGCUAUUUCUUGUGUUUUCUUUUUCCUCCUUUGGUCCAUUCCUAAAUCCAAAAUGGAACCAUUUCCUUGUUUGGGUUCAAAGCUAUUGAACAAUACAUUGAUGCUGCAUAAUUUAUUAUGAAGGUGAGAUCUGAAAUGACAAAGUCAAGAGGAAUUUGAGUACAGAGAGCUUGACUUCUAUCGCUCCAGAUAAAGAUUAAUUCUUUGCAUUAGGUGGUGCAUGCCCACUGAUUUAGCACAUUUAGGAUAGUGUAUAACUCCUACCUCUUAUCCAUAAUUCAAUGAAUUUAUUUUCUUUGUAUUUUCUUUUUCUACAUGCUCUCUCUAGGUAUCUGGAUUAUGUGUAAGUGUUACCCUGAAAGAAGAAAACAGUAACAGGCAUUAACUUAACAUUAAGAAAUUCAUUUAGAAUUUGAAGUAGAGACCACCAUUAUAACCCAGAACUGAAAUUAUGAUUUCAGCAAUGAUGUGCCAUAAGUGAAGCGACUCCUGGGGAGCAAAAUUUUUUGACUGCUAGCAUAUGCGUAUGCAUUUGAAAUAACUUUGACCAGGACCUCAAAUAUGAGUUUUUGAACAAUAACUGAAAAUUGAUUUUGAAGAAAGUAAUAGUUGAGAUAAAUACGUUAUUGAGUUGAAUGAUCAUCUUUCUUCUCGGAGAUUUUUUUUCUUUUCUCCCUCAGGAAGUUAAUGAUGUCCAGACGAAAAGUUUCAUAAAUUGAGAAACUUUUUUAACUAAGGCAUGGCAUUCAUUAGGUUGCAAGACUGUUCGAGUUUGGGAAGAAAUAUGUUACACUAAUAUCAAGUGGUUUGAGCACUUAAAAAACAGUCUACCAUUUCAGAAAACAGUGCUCUGGGCAGGAUGGUGGGCAAGCCUCCUGACAGCAAUAAGAUUUUGUGGCAAGUUUUAUGGUACUUGAUUUAUGGGUGCAAUUUUUAUUUGUUAUGAUAGAUUUCUAUUUCCACCAGUUCACUUGGUUAUAAUAUACUGUUGUGGUGUUGAUUUGUCUAGCUGUCUUUAGCUGUUCUGAGGGGGUAAUGUGUAAAAUUGUUGAUAAAUUCUAGUCCAUUUUUUCAAACCUCCUCCACUCCCCAGCAAAAAAAAAAAAGGAUGUUCAUUGCUUGUGUUGAUUUUAAAAUUAUCAUGUGAUAGGUUUCUCUCUGGGAUGGUAUUAUACCUUCAAAAGAGCAUGCGAAAUUCUGGAUUCAUACCACAAACAAGUACCGAUUCACUGAUCAGGUAAAGCCAUUUCUGGAAAUUAAUUUUUACCACUACCUCUUCAAACCAAGCCAAAUCUUUGAUCUUUUUGCUAUUGUAGGGAAGCAAUCUCCGGGGAAAAGAAUUCAACUUGACAUUGCACUGGCAUGUCAUGCCCAAGACUGGAAAGAUGUUUGCUGACAAAAUAAUCAUGACCGGGUUCCGCUUGCCAGAAGAAUACAGAUAAGGAUGAUUCUGGGGUGUUUUUUUGGCUGUAACUUCAGUAUUUGUCCCAUGGGGAUGUAAGAGGUUAUUGAAAUUCGAAAAUCAGAGAAAAAGGGAAAAUUUCCUAUUUGAGUCAAUGACUUUUUAUUUAUGAGGAUAUUGCUUAGACUUUUUGAAUCCAUAGAACUUUGUUACUGAUUCUUGGAUCUUGACCCUUCCCUCAGAUAUUCACAUCUAUCUUGUGACCAUUUUUCUGUUCAUAUACAAUUUUUCCAGGUUGGAAUCUCUUUUCCUGGUGUUUGGAUGCAAAACUACCAAAUGGGAUUUCUUAGGAUUUCUUCAGGAAAAUCACUUCGAAAGGGAAACUCCUCUUCAUGGGAAUUUUCUUGGUGCAGUUCAUCACCGAUGGGAUUUUCCUUUUCUCAUCGCCCUCCAAAAAGGAAAAGAAAAGGAAAGGAAAAGGCCCCUCUUCAAUCGAGAGGAAAUGACUCUGAAGUGGGCUGUGUUCUUGUAUUCUCAGUCCCAUUUAGAUAGCAUUUUGUUUUUAGCUUUUGGUAAAAAGCUACUGAUUCAUUGAUUUCUAAGGACAGUAUACUGUAGUUUUAAAUUUUCUAUUAAAUAUAAAAUAAUAUGAUUUAUAAAUAAAUUAUAAAUUUUAUAAUAUUUAUUUAUUUGUAAAUUAUAUUUAUUUUAAUGUAAUUUAAAAUUUAAAAAUAAUAAUAUUAAUAAGUUAGGUAAACAAUUAUCUUUUUCUUUUUUUUUAAAAAAAAAUUAAUGGGUUGAGAAUGGAUUUAAACAAUUUUAGGGUUUAAUGCAUUUCACCCCCUUCAAUUUAUUACGGGUUUUGCACAUUGCCCUCUCACCGUUAAAAUUGAAGACAUUGUCCUUCAAACUUCUUAAAUAUUAAUAUUGUCUCCUUUUUGUUAGACAAUAUUAAUUUCAAUGAACGAAACAUGUGAUAUUAUAAAUUUAUCCUUAUUUAUUUAAUCACAUGCAUACAUAUCUCAUAUUUUCGUCCAUUAAAACGAACAUCAUUCAAUAAAAAGCUACUAUGAAGGCAUUUAAGAAACUUAAAAAGUAAUGUAUUCGAUUUUAAAUAUGAGGAGCAAUAUGUAAAACACGCGUUAGGUUAAAAGUGUAUUAAACCCAUGAUUUUUUUCAUUUAUUCAAAAUCUAAUUUAAUUAUGUACAUAAUUUAAAAAUAAUAAAUAUAAAAUUCAUGAAUGAGUUCCAACCCUAAAUACACGUGGAAUAAUCAGGAUGACAUAAAAUGAACACUUUCAUGUGAUUGGUCCAGCAAGUGGGACCCGUCAAAAUGCUGACGUGGCAACCGGCAACAUUUGAUAUUGCUAAAUGGGAAAACUGUACGGACAAACAUAACUGGUGGAGACCCAUCUUCUCUUUCAAUUCUCAUCCCCUUCUCUUUUUCCUCUCUCUAUCUGUCUUUCUCUCAGGCCAUCGUCGUGCUUCUUCAGGUACGGAAACCCUGAAUCUCACUCCCCUUUGUUUGGUUGCUCUGCAAAAAAAAAACCGAAGGAAAAUGAAAGAAUCAACAAUAAAAUGUUACAAUCUUAAUUUUGAAUUAUUCUUUUGAGCGACCGAGAAAUCUAGAAGGUCUCUACCCAACUGAGACUGUUACAGGUUACAACACGGAACAAGAUACGUGGAAUUUUAAUCAUUUUUGUUUUAUUUUAUUUUCUCUUCAACCGAACAGAAGUUAGGGCUUUGAGUUUUGUCUCAAUUGGGGGAGAGUUUGAGUUCAGAUUGUGGUAUCGCUUGUGCAUUUGCUUUACCUAUCACUGGAAACUCCAAUUACUAUUGGAAAAUAACCCGGAAUUGUUGGACAUUUAUUUUCUCCUUGUCCUUAGUUUUCUGGGCAAGCAGACAGAAGGCUAGAGUUGUUUCCUCUUUCUAUUCUUGUUUUUCCCCCCUUCAAUACGGGAAGUUGUAUUCAAAUUCUGGUGGUGUUUGGAAUCUUUGCUUAAUUCGAUCACUGAUUUGAGUUUGAAUUGUGAAAGUAGAACUUAGUCCUUAACUUUUCUUUUGUUUUCUUAUAUUUUCUCAGUUGCCAAUUAGAGCCCUAGCAUAGCCUCUCUGCUACAUUGUGAGCGCCUAGCUAAAUAUAAUAUUUGAGCCUUACUGUACAUUGAAGUUAAUGUUCAGUGCUAAAUCAUUAAGAGCCAUCUCUGAAUGCUUGCAUUAGCAGCUCUCAAUGACAUACUAUGUAUGCUUAAAAAUCCCAAGGGAAAGGGUGCAAAAUAAUUUCUGUGUGCAUGAUCAAAUAUUUGUUGUCUUUAUUAUUUUAAGCUUCUGCAUGUAACUAGCUGGUUCUAUGGCCUUCUCAAAUUGCUACACGGACAACAGUUUCAAACAUUGCAUAAAAUUCUGAACCUUUAGAAUUUGGUACUGUUAUCAGUAUUUCUGACUUAAGAUGAGUAUGCACUAGCAGACGAAAUCAAUUAGAUUAACCUAUGACUUGGUUUCAAAAUUAUAUUCUAUACAAAGUGUUUUCUCUUACUCUAAUUUCCUUGUUUUUUAUUGUUGUUCUUGAGCUAUUUUCUUUGCUUUUGAGAAUGUUACCAUUUCUAUAAUCUUAUUUAUCUUUCUUUCAAAAGUACAUCCAUUUAUGUUGAAUAUGUUCUAGUAUGUGUACCAUUAAUGUCCUGAAGGUCAUGAUUGUUGCGCUUCUAUUUUUAUGAGACUAGUUGAUCUUGUUUGCAAUGGAUGAAUUUAGCUGUAUGGGUGUGAGUAAUAGAAUUGUUGGAAGAAAGUCACUGGUAUAAUUUCUAUGAUACUUGUUAUGGGUCUUCUGUUCAACUUAAAUAAUAACUAGGUUAUGCGUUGAAAGGAAAAUAUGUUUAAAAAGUCAGGGGUUUCAUUAACAUCCUUGAUCUUACAGGGAAGCUAUGGCCAGCCAAGCCCUUGUGAACAGUGAUCGCUCAAGGACACAUUGGACCCAAACGAUGGAACGCUAUUUCAUUGAUCUCAUGUUAGAUCAGGUACAUAGGGGCAAUAGGAUGGGGCAUACAUUUAAUAAACAAGCUUGGGCAGAUAUGCACGCCAUGUUCAAUGGAAAAUUUGGAUCUCAAUAUGAGAAAGAUGUCUUGAAAAGUCGUUACACAGUUCUGUGGAAGCAGUUCAAUGAUAUGAAGAAUCUCCUUGACCAAAGUGGAUUUUCUUGGGAUGAUACUCGAAAGAUGGUGGUAGCUGAUGAUUGUGUCUGGGAUGCCUAUAUCAAGGUGCACUGUUUCUUUGCUCUCCUUGUUUAAUCCCCGUUCUUAUUGCAAAAGUAGCUUGACAUGAGAUGCAUGCAGGCUCACCCAGAUGCACAAUGCUACAAAAACAAAGCUGUGAUGAAUUUCAAUGACUUAUGCUUGAUAUAUGCAUAUACAACAGCAGAUGGAAGAUAUAGUCGUUCAAGUCAUGAUAUAGACUUUGAUGAUGACUUCCAAGGAGUGACCAUUGGUGUGUCUCUAUCCCUGUUACAACCUAGAUUAUGGUUUUAUCUUAUAUUGUGAAUGAUAUGUGUGUACAUGUGAAUGUGACUCAAAACAAGACCCUUUUUCCAGUUUUUAUUUUCAUGGUGCCGACACUAGUUUUGGGAAGGGGGAAGACAGUAGAAUUCUGAAGCUGCAACUCAUUGCACAAUGUUUAUGAUAUAUGCAAAAACCUUCCUUUUCUUUUUGCGGGUUUUCUGUUUGUAAUGCAAUACUUAUCAUGAAAACUAUAAGGGAAAAAAUGGUAGAACUCAGAAAAUAUAACUCACUGACCCUAUUCAUGAUUUAUGAGUGUAGAAUUCUGAAGCUGUAAUUCACUGCACCAUGUUUAUGAUAUAUGCAAAAACCUUCCUUUACUUUUUGCAGUUUUUCUGUUCGUAAUGCAAUAUUUAUCAUGAAAACUAUAGGGGGGAAAAUGGUAGAACUCAGAAAAUAUAGCUCACUGACCCUAUUCAUGAUUUAUGAGUUGACCUAGAAUUUGACAGAACAAAAUCCUUGCUUGAAUUUCAUAAGUUUCAGACAACUAUGAACCUUCACCACAUCCAACAUUAUAAAAGGCCCUGUCUUUCUGUCAAUUAUAAGCUCUUAGCUCCACAAGCCACAAGUGGGUGAUCUACUAACAGUUUAUCUGAGCCAAAGAUAACCCAAAAGUGGUCAGAAUUCCUGGCUAUAUUUUAUUGUUCUGGAAACAGGACCUUAUUAAGAUAGAAACAAGCAUACUGUGAAGUGGCUGAAUGUGUGAAGAAUAUGAUAAUUGGUUGCAUUCAUGAUGAUGGAUGUUACCUGAGUGAGUUAUUGACCUUUAUCUGGCUAUCAAAAAUAAAAUAAAAUACUGAUUGUUAUUUACUUGAUUUGUUUUGACAUGCAUUUUCCUCUAAAAAAAGUGUUAGUAAUUUCAUAAACAAACUAAGAACUGGAUGCAGUAUGAUUAAGGCUGGGUAUGUCUUUAUUUGCAGAUAUCUACAAGAAUUAGAAGUUUUUUACUGAACAAACAACCACACUCACUAAUAAAUUUCUUAAUUGUAUAGCUUAUGGAAUGGGUAGCGUAGCCCCUGCAAGUAAUGAGCACUCUAGAAGAGACUGGACACCAGCCAUGGAUCAAUAUUUCACUGAGCUCAUGCUGGAUCAGCUGGGAAAAGGGAAUAAGAUUACUAAUACAUUCAAUGAACAAGCAUGGACUGUUAUGCUCUCUUUGUUCAAUUCAAAAUUUUGUACUCAGCAUGGAAAAAGGUUUUUAAAACGUCGAUAUAAGAAACUGGAAAAAUAUUAUAGUGAUAUAAAGACUCUGCUUGAGCAAAAUGGUUUUUUGUGGGAUGAUAGACAACAAAUGAUAGCAGCCGAUGAUGAUGUUUGGGAUAAUUACAUUAAGGUAUGUAUUUUAUUUAAAUUUGAUAUUGUAGUUUUGUUUUUAUAAUAUCUAAUGCUUAAUUAUGAUGGAUUUAGGCACACCCACAUGCACAAGCAUACAGAAAGAAGAUUUUGCUGAACUUUCAAGAUUUGAGCUUGCUGUAUGGAAAAACUGUCAACAAUGGAAUUCGCAGUCAUCUGCACCCAGAUAAAGACCUUGAAUAUGAUAUUGUACAAAUCAAAGCUGGUGCGUUUCAUAUUUAGACCACCAAAGUUUUUUUUUUAUUUUUAAAUAAUUAUUUAUACUGUCUUAGGAGUUAUAAUUUGGAUUAUGGUUGUCUCGUGGAAAAUUCUUCAAUCGAUCAUACUUACAUGUAACAAGAGAAUUGGGCAGAACUACAAAUAGUUGCUUUUUCUUGGUGACACUUGAUGCUCAUCAAUGGAAACAGACUUCUAGGUUCCAAUUUUGUUGUUACAUGCAUCCAGAAUUGUAUGCUAAUUUUAGUGAAAUCCAUGAGACUAUCAGUCAUAUUAGCAUUUGCUUCAAGAUGAUUUUGGGAACCUUGAGAAUUAUUUUCAUGGAUGGAUUAUUACUUCUAUAAAUUGUGCUUUCUGGCUUUGUAGGUGAAGGGGAGUACCAAACACCAAUUAGUGGUGAUGGUUAUUGGACGCUGCCAAUGGACCAUUAUUUCAUUGACUUGUUACUGGACCAGGUGCUUAGGGGGAAUAAAAUUGGGCAGGGAUUCAUAACCCAAGCUUGGAUUGAAAUGGUCACAUUAUUCAAUAUGAAAUUUGGAUCUCACUACGACAAAGAUGUUCUGAAGAAUCGGUACAGACAUUUGAGGAGACAAUAUAAUGACAUAACAGCUCUUCUUGAACAUAGCGGGUUUUCUUGGGAUGAUACACGAGAAAUGGUAACUGCUGAAGGUUUUGUUUGGGAUUCUUAUAUCCAGGUGUGAAAUGCUAUUCCCCUAUUUCUUAUUUCUCAGAUGUAUUUUAUUUGAUGUUUUGUAGCUUACAUAUAACAUAUACAGGCAAUUCCUGAUGCUCAAUCAUACAGAAACAAAACUGUGCCAAAUUAUCACAAGUUGUGUGUUAUAUAUGGACAAGAAAGUUCUAAUGGAGGAGACAACUCUUUGGCAUGCAAUGGUGACAUCGAUGGCGUGGACCCAGUUUGGAUGAUUGGUAUGUUUCUCAUUCAACAAUGAAAUUGGAAAAGAUAUUUUGUGAAGAUUGGUCCUAAGACUAUGAUCUCAAAUCUGAUUCUGGAAAGUAGAAAAUAAAUAGAAAUGCCUCUUAGAGCAAAUUUAAUUCUGUUCAAAUUUAUAUUAACUAAUAAACAAACACAAUUAAUUAUGAUUAAGUUUUCUGGAUUUUUGAAAUCCCCUGAAUUGAUCUGGUUUGUCAUUAAAACACAAGCUAAUUUUGUUGUGUACAAUUUAAGAAUUAACAAAUCACUUCAUCAAAAAAAGAAAAAAGAAAAAAAGAAAAAAAAAAGAAUUAACAAAUCACUCUCCAAAAUUGUGAAUGUUGCUUAUACUUCAUGAAUUAUGUUCCAGAAUGACAUGGUAUGCCUUUACAUUGUUGCAUUACUGAAUACGGAUAUUCAGUCUUGUUCAUCCAACCAAAUGCUCAAGUGCCUCCCACCCCACCCCUGCUACCUACAAAAGGAAAAAAAAGUACCUAAAACACACACACACACCCCUUUCUCCCCAAAUAAUGUUUGGAUCUUUCUUUAUGGAUUCCCAAAUUUUGAUUUCACUAGUGCCACAUAAUGUUAAGUCCCAGUUUCUUCACUUCAUUAACAGUAGAAAACCAAGUGAUAGGCAAUGCUUACUUGUGUAACUCUGGCUGGGUAUUGAUGUCAUCACAUAGCAAUAUUAGUUGCCAUGUUAUUUACAUUCAAAAUUCUGUUGUUGCAGAAGGAACUGAUAUUCAAUGCAAUGCAAAUAGUGAUCAUUCAAGGACAGAUUGGAUACCGCCAAUGGACAGAUAUCUCAUUGACCUUAUGCUAGAGCAAGUGCGGAAAGGGAAUAGGAAAGUUCACACUUUCAAUAAACAAGCAUGGGCAGAUAUGGUUGCAUUAUUCAAUGAAAGAUUCAGAACACAACAUGAGAAAAGUGUUUUAAAGAGUCGGCAUAAAAGUUUGAGGAAGCAGUACCAUCAUAUAAAGAAUCUUCUUGAUCAUAGGGGGUUCUCAUGGGAUGAAAUGCGACAAAUGGUCACAGCAUAUGAUGCUGUUUGGGCUGCUUACCUCAAGGUGCAUUGCUUAGUCAUUUGACUCUUUUGAUUUUAAUUGCAAGUGCCUAACAUGUGGUACAUGUAGGAACACCCAGAUGCAAAAUCAUACAGAGCCAAACCAAAGCCGAAUUACAAUGAUUUGUGCUUGAUUUAUGGGAGUCCAAUUGCUGAUGGACAAUGCAACCAAUCAUAUCAUGGCAUUGACUUCAACGGUGAUGGUGAGCCUUUAAUUGUGAUGGGUUUAUGGUUGUCUUGCAUUGGUUAAGGAAUAUUGUUUCAACAAUUUGAACCAAAAUUACUGAAGAUGCUAAUUACCUUGUGGUAAAGACCAUCGAUUUUUUCUAUGCUACCAUGUUUGAAGCCUGUGUUCACCUACUAAUUUGUUAAUCCCUAACUCCUACUGCCUUGUCCUUGUGCUGAUACGCUUUCAUGAAAAGAAGGAAGUAAGCUGCUGCAAUUUUUAAGAAAUUAGUAAGAAUGAUUCUUGGCAUUGAAUGAAUUUAGGGAUAUGUCAGUAGUAAUUUAUAUUGCAUGGUCUACUUCAAGCAUCUUUUAGCAAUGCUACAUCAUGUACACUUGACUAUUUAUGCGUGAUGUGUUUUGAUACAUACAAGGAAGACUAAUCUUUUCUCCAUAUUUUGUCAUUUUUAAAUACUUUGAAGGAAGGGAACUUAACAAUAGUAGUCACUCGCGAACUGAUUGGACACCACUGAUGGACCGAUAUUUCAUUGAUCUAAUGCUAGAACAUGUUCAGAAAGGGAGUAUGGUUGAUCAUAAAUUCAACAAGCAAGCAUGGAGUGAUAUGGCUGCAAGGUUUAAUGCAGAAUUUGGGUCUUAUCAUGACAAAGAUGUCUUAAAAAGUCGGUUUAAGCAUUGGAGGAAGCUGUUCAAUGGAAUGAGAACACUUCUUGAGCAGAAUGGGUUUGCUUGGGAUGAAAGACGGCAAAUGGUAACUGCAGCUAAUGAACUCUGGGAUUCCUAUAUCAAGGUACUUUUUUAUAAGUUAAACCUUUAGACACAGGAUUUUUCAGUCCCUGCUUCAGGGAACUUACAUAUGGUAUGUGCAGGAAAAUCCUGAUGCAAGAUCAUAUAGAACUAGAAGUCUCCCGAACUAUAAUGAUUUGUUCCUGAUAUAUGGGAAUGCAAUCAACAAGGACACACAAAACCAAUCAAGUUUUUGUAUAGACGACAAUGACGAUGACCUGGGAGUAGGAAUUGGUGUGUUUCUCAUUCUUCUUUCUCUCUCUCUCUCUCUGAUGCGCAUAGAGACAUAGACUUGCACACAUAUUAGCUUAUUGGUAACUUGGUAUACAUGGCUCAGAUUGUUCUCUCCACAUAAUGGCUCUCAUCCAGAGUUUUGGGGAUAGAUGGCUGCUAGCAUGAAUAUGAACUAAGGUCAUAUUGAACCUGCACCAUCCUUCUCUAAUGGCUGACUCUGAUUUUGUGAAACUGCUGGUAUCACAAAUUCAAUAUGUGGAUGUUGAAUGAUAGUGUUUUCAAAUGGUAGAAUUUCACACAUCUGAUUAUUCCAAUUUCUUCAAUUUGUAGGUGAAGAGGAUGACCAGUUCCUUGCUAGUAGCGAUUCUCUAGAUGUUGACUGGAUGAUACCAAUGGACAUAGACCCUCAUGCCCUAGAACUGGACAUGGAUGAAAUGUUUGGAUGUCUACAAUCCCCAUUUAGAAACACUAACAUAUCAGAUCAGAAAAAACGCCGACAAUCUGCGGCACCAUCAACUUUGGCAUGCUCAAGAAAAGUCCCCAAAACCAAAGAGAGGAUGUGGGAAUCACCCAGUGAAAAGGAAGGCGUAGCCACAGCACUGAUAAAUGAUAAAGAAGUGAAGAAUUGCAUCUCAAUAGAAACCAUCGUGGAUGCCCUCCAAAGCAUACCAGGCAUGGACGACGAGCUCUUCUUGGACGCCUGCCACCUUCUGGAAGAUGAGAAAAAGGCCGAGAUGUUUGUGGCACUGGAUGCUGCACGGCGACAAAAGUGGUUGCUGAGAAAGCUCCGCACCUAGCAUCAUCAUGCGAUUUUCAGUUGGGAAUUGGGAUUCAUGUCUAUAAUGUGUCUAUAAGUUUUUUGGGUAUGUAAAUUAUAUUUUACAGGUUAAAGCAUAGCAGUUCCCCUUUUUUUUUUCCUUCUCUUCGAAUCAAUCUCCUGGUAGCUAAUGUUGUUCAAACCUACACCUCACUCAGUUCAUAGACAGCAGAGUGUGAGCUGUCGGCACAGAGCAGUGCACCUUUUUCUUACCGCGUGGUGGUAUUUGUCUUGACCAACCACCUACUGCUGGCUUUCCUUCUAGUGAAUUGCUGCGGCAUCACCGGUCACAAAACCAUAGUUAUUAAGGAAAAUAAAAGAAUCUUAAAAAUACUAAGGAAACAAGGAAAAUGAAUUUCUUGUUGAAAUAGACAAAGAUGAAAAGAAAAUCCAAAAAAGGAAAGGAUGAGAAAAAUGUUCAAAAUAGUCCAAAAUCAAAACAAAACAAUGAAAAUAGAAUGCAAGUCUAAUUGCAUUGGAACCUUUUUCCUUGAUAUGAGAAAUGUGGAAAAUAAGAAAUAAAUAAAUAAUGCAAAGAUCUAUGACCCAAUGACAAGACAAUUAGUAGCAAGAAGCUUGGGUCUGGGAAUGGCAUGGCCUGCUUCUCCUCCUCCUCCUCCUCCUCUCUCUCUUACCUCAAAAACUCUGCAAUCCCACUCUCCCUCUUCUUCAUCUUCCUCUUCUUCCUCCUCACUACCCCACAUUUCUCCCCAAGCUACCCCUCCCCUCCCCCUAUAAUCCCCAAAAGGUCUCUCCUCAACUCCACCACCACCACCACUUCUUGCUCCUCCAGUCUUGAAACCCCCUCCAAUGGCCUCCUCAACUACCUUUCCCUCCAUUUCUGCACUUUCCACCAAACCCAUCUCAUCUCCAUCCCUUUCCUCACCCUCGUUCUCCUCCUCCUCUUCUACAUCCUUGUCAAGACUGCCCAAGAUCGCUUCUCUAUCGUCGUCACGAAGCUCUGUGCUCAUCUCAAUUUGUCGCCUAGUAUGGGUGCUGUGACCCUCUUGGCUCUGGGUAAUGGGGCUCCAGACGUCUUUGCGUCGGUGGCCGCUGUGCGUGGCGGGCAUCCGAGGACUGGUUUUGGGGCGAUUUUGUCGGCCGGUACGUUUGUUUCGGCGUUUGUGGUUGGGUUUGUGGCGAUUUAUGCCGCGCCGUUUUCGGUGGACCCGAGUCAGUUUGUGAGGGACGUGUUCUUUUACUUGGUGGCUGCGUUGUUCUUGUUCUAUGUGUAUUUGAGCGCGGAGAUUUUUCUGUGGCAGGCUAUUGGGUUUGUGGGGUUUUAUGCGUUUUUUGUCGGGUUGGUGUUUUGGAUGGAUUUGGGGAUUGGUGGAGGGAAGGAGAGAGGUGGGAGUGAGGUGGGGUUGAUUGGGGAGGUCGAGAUUGAGAAGGGUUUGGUGGGUUCUGGGGUUUUUGAGAUUGGGGAUGUGUUGAAGGAUGUGGAGAGAGGGAAGGCCGGUUUCGGGUUCGGUGAUGCACUUGGCAAGGUAUGUUUGGAUUUGAAUUGUAUUUCAAUUAUAAUCGUGUGGAUGUUUAUUUGGGAUCAUAUACGUUUGCUGAAUCUUGUUGUCAUAUAGUUCAUGAUCUAUGUGGCCAUAGAAGGUGAAGGUCGGAAUUUAAUUUGAUAUGAUGAGUUUGUUUCGUAAUUGGGUACCUGGAAUCUUGAUUUCUCAAUCAGUAGUGACUGUAAAAGUGAGGGUCUGCUUAAUUUUUUGGAAACUAGAAAAUUUAUGUGAGAUUUAAUAUGAAUUGAUUAUUUGCAUCAUCUUGCUUUGGACAUACUUACAGAAACUCCUAGACUUUCCUAGGUGAUUACCCUGCUUCUUGCCUACGUGCCAUGAUGGUUGUCCAGGGAAGAGUGAUGAUGCUCCUGCUCGCCUAGGUGCCUUGAUGCUUGUCUGUAUGUUGAAUUUGAUAUUAUCUCUCCCACUAAUUUCAUAUUUUGAUUUGUUUGAUGUGGUUUAUAUAACAUAUGAAGACAACUUUAGAUGAGGAAGCUGCUUUAAAUGGACAUUCAUAUAGGAGGUGUGAACAAAAGAAUGAGAGUAAAUAGAUAAGCCUUGAUUAAUCAAGAAAUGAUGGAAAUAUAGCGAGAUUAUGAAUCGACUAUUGCAGGGCCACACUUGAUCAAAACUAUUUGAAUUGACCAUAAAAAAUUCAUGGGUCAUGUCUAGGGGCCAUGUUAGGAUCCAUCACAAACAUCUCAAGGUGAUGCUACGUGUUGUAGACGAACAAACAUCUUAGCUUACCCUCUCAUUUGGUGACAAGAUGGUCCUGUAUCUGGCAUUUCACCAAUGUGCUGUUAUUUUCCUGUCCAUAGCAUAGUAAAGCAAGGUCCUCAUUUUCCAACCUCAGAAAAACAGGUUAAGCAUCUAGGUGUGACAAGACAUUGGCCCGUGUUAUCUUUAAGUUGGGUUAUUCUGUUUUUGGUAGGUUAAUUGGUAAUGGCCUUUUAACUGUUAAAAGCUAUAUAUGAUUUUGUGCAAAUUUGAAGUUAAGAAAUCAUUCGUCUUAUAAAUCCUCAAGGCAUUAUAUUGUUAUGAAGAAUAAUUUUGUCCUCCAAGAUCAGCUUUUUCUAUUCCUAUUUGGAAAUGAGUUCCACUCUUUCAGAGGUAUUUGUAUCUGCCCCUUAACAGAAACAGUUUUCAACCUUUUUCCCCUUCUUUUAUGUAUGUAUUUGACUGCUCAUAUCUGUUAUUGCUUAGAAGGACAUUCUUGCAAAAUAUAUAUUUCCUUCAUUCAAUUGGAUACUCCUAUAGAUCCUUAUUUUAUAUGUUGACCUUUAGAAAGCCUUCAACUUUUUCCACGGCUAAAUUUUUAAAAUGUGGGAAGGUGAGUAGGUAUUAAAAAAAAUAGAUGUAUAUGUAUGCAAGACACAAAAAUAGAUGGUGCAUAUGUAUACUCCUUUAGUCUAUAAUUAGGUGUCAAGAAAUGGAUUUCAUUGUAAUAGUAGGCUACAAACCUUAAUGAUUAUAAAUGAAGACAAAAUGGCUUAGAAUAUUUCUUUUAUACACAUUUUAUGGAUCAAGAAAUGGAGGAUAUACUUGAUAUAUCAUUGAGUUGAGAUUCUUAUGUGUUGCGUGGACUGCCCAUGGAUGAUGGAUAUUGGAGUAGUCAUUUUUGAGUGACAUGGCAUUUUUGACAAGUGAAUUUUGUUUAUUUUGCAUUCUUUAAAUUGAUAUUCUUGAUUAUUGUUUAGAGAAUAUGACCAAUUUUGGUGAGGGCUUCAUUCAUUGUUAAUGGCUCCAUCGUAGAGGAUGGAUUUUGCCUUUAAAUGGUAUGGAAAACAAAGGUUUAAUUUUCUUAGAAUGCCCAAGCACUGUCCAGGGCUUCUAUCAUAAAGCAUACCAGUGAAAAUGAUGGCAAAUUUUAGCAUUGGUAAAGCCAAGGGUCUAUCCAACCUUCUAGUAGAAGGGGAUUCUGUGGUAGUGCUAUAUUGGGUAAAAAAGGAGAAAAACUCUCGGAGGUUUGGCUAUGCCAACUUUUUGACAUCACUCUAGAGUUAGGGUGUUCAUUCUGCUGGAUUCCUCAGGCAGCUAACUAGGUGGCGGAUAAGUUAGCAAAAUGGGGAGCUUAACAUUUGAUUUCUUUUGUAGGAGAUUUUCAACCCCCCUAAGCUCUUGAAUUCAUAUUUUAAAACCUUUUUAGAUGUGCACAUCUAACGAUAUCUAGAGUAGAUGGUUUUUUCCUGCUUUUGAUCACAACUAUAUAGUUGUUGUGCUUGCAGGAAGGAUUUCUCAUCCUUCUUUAUACUUGAUAAUAAAAUGUUUGUUUUUUAUUUAAAGAAAAACAAAUGAUGACAAACUUUUCUCUCCAUUUUUUGCAUUGGGAGCCCUGUCGUACUUACAUUUGGCUGACCCUUACUGAUGAUCCUGGUUGUGGGAAUAGGUGAUUUGUCUUUUGCCAGAAAACUAUUGGUAAAAAGAGGAUUAUUGUCUUGUUUGUUUUUCCUCAUAUUUUCAGAGGUUUUGUUGGUUAAUAACCGCCCAUGCUUCUUUGCAUGGUGGAUUUAAUUAUUGUUGGAUUUUGUAAUGCAUUUCACAGUCAUUUGUGAUGAUUCUUUGAGAAAUUAUUGUUGUUGAUUAUGAGAAUGUUCAUUAAUUAAUUGUCAUCCAGGCCCAUCUAGUUUUUGAAGGUUAAUAUGCAUAUUAGCUUUUUAAUGCUUCUGAUUAUGAUUGCCCUAAUUCUGUUUUUUUUUUUGCUUGCAGAUCUCGAAAGCAUGGGAACUUCCAGUUUCUUUACUUCUAAAGCUCACAAUCCCACAAACUGAACCUUCAGAAUGGAAUAGGUUCUAUCAAUCUGCAAAUAUUGCUCUUUGCCCACUUGCCCUUUUGUACUCCUGUAAUUCAUUCAUACCACUAAAUCAUCCCAUCAUUUUUCUCCUUCCACACACUCAUUUUCCAUUAUGGUCUGUCGUACUCUUUGCAAGCUCCUCCCUUGCAGUUCUUCACUUCAUAAUAGAAAAAGAGCCCCCUGAAACUGAAAGAAUGCCUGUGGUUCUUGUAGCCUUUAUAAUGAGUGUCUUUUGGAUAUCUACUGUUGCUGGGGAGCUCCUGAACUGCCUUGCAGCAUUAGGGUCACUUCUUGAAUUGCCUCCAUCACUCCUUGGGCUCACAGUACUUGCAUGGGGAAACUCAGUGGGAGAUCUUGUUGCUGAUGUGGCCAUUGCCAAAGCAGGCCAGCCAGCAAUGGCAAUGGCUGGGUGCUUUGCUGGCCCAAUGUUUAACAUGCUUGUUGGACUUGGGACAGCUUUGGUGAUACAAACUGCUAAUAUUUAUCCCCAAGCUUAUCAGCUCCAUUUCCACACGGGUAUUGUGAUUGCAUUUGUGUUCUUGCUGUCAAGCUUGAUGGGGUCUCUGUUAGUUAUAACUUGGGGUAGAUUCCGGGUGCCUAGGUUCUGGGGUUUCUGCCUUGUUGGUCUCUAUGUUGUAUUUAUGGUUGUUAGCAUACUCAUCGCAAAGUUUUCAGGGUGAUUUUUCCAACCCCCACAUCUACAGUUUCUCAUUCAUUGCUAUAGUUAUCAUGCCAAUUACCAACCCAUAGUAGAAUUUCUCAGCUACAAAAUGUUGGGCAGCUCAUUGAUAUUCCAAGCAAUCAAUCCACAGAUGGCAGAUUGUCAAUACAAGCGAUGUUUCUCGCUGCAAAAAUCUUGGCUCUCAUCUUUGUCAUCUUCCAAGCUAGGUACCUUAUACCUUACACAUUGGAUCAAUGAUUCUUUUCAUCUUGUUAGUUUCUGUUCUCCCCUAUUUGUCUUAUUAGUUUUUUAAUUCUUUUGACAAUGAGAUGUCAUAAUUUGUAUUGGAAGAAUCUACUUCUUUAUGAGCAUAUAAUUGUAAUAGAAAAUGUCUAAGCAGCAUCAUGAUAUGCCUCAAAAUCUAAUUACACUACAGCAUGUUUUCACAGAUCAACUUCUAUAUUUUGCACUUACCAGCCUGUUUUUCUUGCUUAUUGUCAAUUACUGCUGAAUGUUACUUCUGGUUUAUUUAUAUGUUGGAGGACAUGGUAACUAGCAGACCCACUUUCUCAGCAACCAUACCCUACCACCCAUUGGCUCACCUUACUGAAAUUUUUGUUCAUGAGUUUAUCACUGUCGCUUUGAGAAUCUGAGACAUUCAAAUUUUGCUGCAACAGUUGGUUUAGAAGCUCAAUAUUUCAUAGGUUCCUACACAGGUCUAGUACUGUAGAAGCCAUUGACAUGGAUGCCCUUUUGCAUCAGCUUGUAGUUGAAGAGUGGGUUAGUUUUAGAUAUGAAUUGUUCUUGAACCUUUGCUUCUACGUUAGCUGCAUGAGUGGAAGGAAAAUUUUCAGAGACUCUGUUGAAAACUCUCUUGUGGGGUUUGGGAUUCUUCUUUUCUUCCUUGUUUUGCCUUAAUUAUGAUAAUUGGAAGGUCAAGUCUAUCAACCUUGGUUAAGAGGGCGUUUAGUAAAACUUAAAGCGGAAUACUUAAUGAAUUAAGGUGUUUGGUAAAACUUAACAUCUAAAAUUAAUUUUUUGAAAUAUUUUUUAUAAAAAUGAGAUGAUUCUUCAUAACAAAUUUAAAAUAUUUUCAAUGUUUUUGUACGAAGUAUUUAAAAAAAAAAGAAUUUUUGCAUUGGACAUCCCAAUGAAAUAUUCUUCCUACGAAUAAUUGACUAGCCGCUAUCCCAUCCCCACCAUCUCACUAUCUUUCUCUCUCAUAGAGGGGAAAAAAAAAAAAAAGACAUGUAGUGAACCGUUCGGUUCACUUGGUUUUCUAACGAUUCGAGACCGAUUUAAUAGGUUGUUAGCUCAAAAGGGUGGACUAAAUCAAAAAGCUCAUCCACUGACAGUCGAAUUAAUUCGAUUUUUAAGCAAUGUUCUUCAAAAGAGAAUAUAAUUUUUACUUGUUUUCUGAUAACUAUUACAAAAAAUAAUUAUACUAACAUAGAGAAAAAUUAAAAAUAAAACUUUAGAGAUAAAAAUUAUAGGUUAAAAAUAUUUUAAGUUCUCAAACAAAUUUUUAUUUUAUAAAAUAUCAAAUAAUCCUUUCCAAAAACUAUUUUUAAAAAUUAUUUUUUAUUUUCAAAAAUAGUUAUCGAUGACUUUAAUCUCUUUCUUUAUCAAAAUCUUAAAUUGGCUUUUUUCUUAACUAAAAUACUAAAACUAAAAACCAUUAUUCCUUUAUUUUAAGUUUAUUAAACGUUAGAUCAAUUUUAUCCAAAAAAAUAAAAUAAAUUUAUAAAAUUAAUAUUAUUUUGUCUAUAAAAAAAAAAAACCAGUUAUGAAGGAAGCUUUAAAAAGUGUGCAUUGCUAUAUAAUUCAUGUAUUUUAAAAUUUUGUUUUCUUAUUAGGAUAUAAGCCAACAUGACUCUAAAUCAAUUAAAUAGCUUCUCCAUUGUUAUUGUGUGAAUAAGCACUAGACAGUCUUCCUCAGAUAAUCAUAACCAAUUAAUUAUUAAAAAAAUUCAAGUAGGAGACUAUAAACCUGGUAGUAAUUAUUGGAAACGUUAAUAAUAUUCCUAAUACUUAAAAAAUUUUAUAAUUCAAAUAUUAAAAAUAUUUUCUAAAAUUACUAUAAAAAAUAUCAGAUUUAUGGGAGAAACUUUUCUUAAUAAUCAAAUUUAAUGACCCUUGCUUAUAGGUUAGAUUCAUCCUUAUCACAAUUAUUUUUAAUUAAAGUAUUUUUUAGAACAUUUUUUGGGAUAAUUACCCGUGUUUUUCUAAUCAUUUUUUUAUUUUUUAAAAAUAUUUUUAAAAUUUUAUUAAAAUACCUUAUUUUUCUUCAAAAAUACUAUUUAUGCUAAAAUUAUUUUUCAUAAACAUCGUCAAACAAACAUAAAUGAAAUGUUUGAUAAUUUUUUAAAAAUACAAAGAUUCACUUAAUUGAAAACCUGAUUUCGAAAAUUUAAUCUUCAUGGUAUAAAAAUAUAUAUUUUUAUUUUUUUAUAAAAAUAAUUUUUUUUUAAAAUAUAUAUAUACAAAUAUUUAAAAUAAUCAAGAACAUUUAUGUCAAAAAAGAGAUUAUUUUUCAAAUAAAAACAUGAAAUGGGUUAAAUUCAUAAAUAUAAAUUUAUGUCAUCCUUUUUAACCGAUUAAUCUUUAACAAAACACCGGCAAAAUACUGUUAAUAAAAGGGCGCCAGAUUAAAACGUUCUAAUCGGAAUCACAUCUAUAUUUAGCUAAAGUUUAGUUGAGGCUUCACAAAGAAGAAACCAAAAAAAAACGGUAUUUAAAAAAAUGGGAAAACAUCAAGAAGUAGACCAAAUAUUUGCAAGUCAAGAUGCCCAUAGCCCCACAUGGGAGGAAAGUAUGAUUUGAAUAGAAGUAGAGGGCAAAGUUGUCAGAAAAAAAAGAUGGGAGUUCGCCAUUAAAGCUUAGGACUCUGACAUAAAAGUCAGAACCCCUCACUCGCUUUGGAAGAAAACCAAAUAAAAAUCGAGUACCAUAAAGCCAAACCCUAACCAACCAACCCCAUCAUUCACUGUACGGACUUUCCCUCCACAACGCCCGAAACCCAGGUUCCACUUCCACCCAUCAAUCAUUCCCCCCUUUUCUCUUGUUUUCUUGCGCUUUCUUUCCCUGUAUGUCUCGCAUAUACGCGUAUACAUGCAUACAACAUGGGUUCAUGUAAUCAUAUAUGUUUAUGUAUGGUUUUUUUCUUUUUUUUCUUCUUUUUUUUUUUCUUUCUGUCUUGGAGGUACCCAUGUAUGUAUGUUUGCAUGAAGGGGUUGUUAUUGGAGAUGUUGAUGGAGUGGGUUUUGUGGGAAUUUUUUUUUUACAAACUUGGUUUUUUUAUUUUCUCUCUUUUGGGUUUGAAUGGUUUGUUCUGUUUGACACUUUGAUCUGAAUAUUGUAUGUAUUUGUUUGUGUUCAGCAAUUUUUGACGAGGAUCAUGUUCUGGAUUUCAAUUGGGUAACUUUGAGUUGUGUGAUGUUUUCGACAAGUUUUAGAGGGUUUUCUUUUCUGUGGAUGAUUGGGGAGAAAAUAUAAAUCUUCAUUUGUGGUAUUUGUUGAAUUUCCUUUUCAAUUUGUUGGCCCAGUUUUGUUUUGUUUUUUUUUUUCCAGUGGAAUUUUUUUCCUGAACUGGUGUUUCUUUGUUAUAAAAAGCUUCCCCAUUUUUCUGAAAAAUGGGUUUUGUUUUUGGAAAGGGGAAUGAUGGAAAUUCUUAGGCUAUGUUUGGUUCCCGGAAAAUUUGAGGGAAAAUAUAAGGGAAAGGAUAUAGGGAGGAAAAGUAAAAAGAAAGAAAGAAAAAAGAAAAUAAAAAAUAAAUUUAAAGUUAAUAAAUUAUUUUUAUAUACUUUUUUAAAUUGAUUUCACUUAAUUUCUUCUAUUGUAUAAGGAUUAAAUAAUUUUAAAAUGCAUAAAAUUCUAAUUAAUUUUAAUUUUAAUUUUUUAUUUUCCAUGAAACCAAAUAUGAGAAAAUCAUUUUCCUUGGUAUUUUUUUUCUCUCAUUAUUACUUUCCGGAGCCAAACAUAGCCUUAAGAACUCGUUUUAACUGAUUUUGGGAUAAAUGGUUUGAGUGACCCCUAAUUUCUUUCUUUUCUUUUUUUUAUCUCAAUUUCAGUCCAAUUCCUUGCUGAAAUUUGAAAACCAAACCGAAGUCCAAACUCUAAGCAUUAAGAUGUUGUAUGCUUAUGCAAUUUAAUGAGCAUCAUCGUAGUCUAAUUGCAGUUUGAACACUUCCACUUUACAUUCAUACACCGAUGGCCUGAUAUAUGUGAUUCGCUAUUUUAUAUGUGUAUUAAUGUUUGAUUCCUUUGAUUUAUAUUGACGAAUUGAGGGAAAGCAAGUUAGAGACUUGGUGGUGGAAAUCCCCAUUUGAUUGAGAGAUCUGGACAAAAAUGAGGAAGCUUAAAAUGAAAAAUCAUUAACUGCAGAGGAGGAAUGCAAUCGAUGCUCUGUUUUCCAUAGUAUUUCAAAUGCAUUUAUUUUGUUUCUUGUUGUAUUUAUAUGUUGCUAUUUGUUUUUAUUGACCCUUUUGAUAGUUUUUAGCAUGUCUAUAAAUGAAUCUGCUUCUGUACUUAUUUUCUUUCUAUUAUCAUCUGGUUUCAGAUGAUAAAUUUAUGAGAGGAAGUUGUGGUUCAUAAAUGCCCAAUUAGGAUCAGGUACACAGUUUGGUGUGGGAAGUGUGUUUUUAGUGUCAACAAUGAAAAUUUUAGUCUUGGAGGACAAAUAUCUCGGAAAAAUAUGCUUCAGGAAGGUGUUAGGGAAUGAAGGGUAAUUUUUUAGGUGCAAUUGGAUUCUAAAGAUAUCGGAGUUUUUUGGCCACAUUGUAUGUAUGUCAACUAAGCUUUAUGUUAAGAAGUCAACAAGCUGGUAGUUUGGUUCCAUCUAAAUAGUGAUCUGGGAUUGAAUUUUAUUCGUAGGUAGGGAAGAGAACAACCAUUAUCCAGCCAUGCUAAUAAGUUCUUGCUUUUUCCAUUGAUUCAUUCUAGAUGAUAGAUUAAGGAGAUUUGAUUUAUGCAGAAGAUGUCUUUCUGGAUGGAGUUUUAUUGAAUCUGUUUUUUUAUAUUUCUUAUCUGAAAAUCAUAAAAUUGUAGGGCCAUGAGUACUGUUGCUACAUCGAGUUUGCUUUCACGCAUUUGUUUUUCAAUGUGAUUUUCACCUGUCCCUUACCUUGGAAUUGUGUUUGAAUUAAUCUUGCUGUUUCUCAUUUUGUUCACAUUGAAGGAUAGCAAUGGAUCAUCAAGGGCAUGGACAAACCCCAGUAAUGGGAAUGGCUGGUAGUGCAGCUCAGUUGCCAUAUGGGACAAACCCUUAUCAACAUAACCAAAUGGGUGGAACCCCUACUUCCGGAUCAGUAGUGACAUCAGUUGGGACCAUUCAGUCUCCAGGGCAUCCAGCAGGGGCUCAGCUUGCACAACACCAGCUUGCUUAUCAGCAUAUGCACCACCAGCAGCAACAGCAGCUACAGCAACAACUCCAGUCUUUCUGGGCAAAUCAGCAUCAAGAAAUCGAGAAGGCUACUGAUUUUAAGAACCAUAGCCUUCCCUUGGCAAGAAUCAAGAAGAUCAUGAAGGCAGACGAGGAUGUAAGGAUGAUAUCAGCCGAGGCACCAGUGGUAUUUGCUAGGGCAUGUGAAAUGUUCAUUUUGGAGUUAACUUUGCGCUCUUGGAAUCACACAGAAGAAAACAAAAGGAGGACUCUGCAAAAGAACGAUAUUGCUGCAGCUAUCACAAGGACUGAUAUCUUUGACUUUUUGGUUGACAUUGUGCCAAGAGAGGAUCUCAAAGAUGAAGUACUCACGUCAAUCCCAAGAGGAACCAUGCCAGUUGGGGGGGCCU